rnacentral:lncRNA from 1 species
CUCAUCUCAUCUAUUCAUCUCCACCUGCACCAAAACACACUGACAACAUGAAGGCCCUCUUCCUCAUAGGACUGCUUGCUCUGGUAGCGAGCACCGCCUUUGCGCAAUAUAGCGAAGUUGUUGGCAGUUACGAUGUUGCUGGCGGGGGUGGUGCUCAACAAUGCCCUGUAGAGACAAAGCUAAAUUCAUGCAGGAAUUACCUGCUAGAUCGAUGCUCAACGAUGAAGGAUUUCCCGGUCACCUGGCGUUGGUGGAAAUGGUGGAAGGGAGGUUGUCAAGAGCUCCUUGGGGAGUGUUGCAGUCGGCUCGGCCAAAUGCCACCGCAAUGCCGCUGCAACAUCAUCCAGGGGUCAAUCCAAGGCGAUCUCGGUGGCAUCUUCGGAUUUCAGCGUGAUCGGGCAAGCAAAGUGAUACAAGAAGCCAAGAACCUGCCGCCCAGGUGCAACCAGGGCCCUCCCUGCAACAUCCCCGGCACUAUUGGCUAUUACUGGUGAUGUAGCUUCCAUUUAUGACUAGCUAAUAAACUGUCACAUACCACUGCGUGUGACAAAUAAAAGUGGUCAUGGAAUAAUUUAUGAAUAAAAUUUCAGCAUGUGCCUGCGCGAGGUGUCUAUAGCAAACAUUUCAGUAUGCCUAUAUAUGUUAAUCAAGAUAGCAAUGUUCACAUACACCCAGAAUAAUAGUUUGUGUAAUUAGUUGUGUAUGUUCUUGGUGGUGGUUUGUGUACAGAUUUGCCUUCCUUCUAACAAAAUAUGAAUACAUGGAGCUGUUCAAGCCUUAAACAUGGAAGAUAAGAGAAUGAAACGAGCCAUCCAAUUAAAUUACUAUGAGUUUGCCGUGAGGAUACCAUUGUUAGUUCAACAAAUGACUUAAAAUAAUUCCAUUUUAUUUCCUGACAUGUUAACAAGAAUGAUAUGCACCAACCACUUCAUGUAUCUUGUGCACAAGCAUCAUCAUAAUCAUCAAUCUAACAACUUGCACAAGAUGACAAAUCUAGUUUCACAGAAAAAUUAAAUCUAGAACAAACCACUAGGCCUGAACGACAUCUAAAUACAAGACAAAAAACAACACAGCUCAAACAGGGUGGCAUUUAAAAAAAAUGGUGUAUAUUAAUUAGAUAUGCUAGAGUUUAUUACUACCUCUGUACCGAAAUAUAAGACGUUUUUGUACGGAAAUUGCUUUUGGAGGCCGAGCUCCAUGCAGGCCUUCAAAUGCAAAAUUCAAAAUUCAUGAAAAUUCAUAUUUUUACAUUUAAAAAAUUCUAAAAAAUAGAGACAUACAUGAAGGCAUAAUGCACAAGUGUGUAAAUAUUCAGGACGAAAUACGUUGAAAUGAGGGCUGUGCAAAAAUAAAUCUGAGACUUGAUACUAUUCAUCCUCCCAGACCAUGAAUUUGUCUUUUUUGUAUAGGUGGCAUUUCAAUGUAUUUGAUCCUGAAAUUUUACACACAUACAACUCACACCCUUGUUUACUUGUGCAGAUUUUUUCAGAUUUUUUGAAAUCGAUAAUUUCAAAAUUCAAAAUUUUCAAAAUAUGGCCUCCAUGGAGGCCGAGAUCCAAAACGUCGUACUCAUUUUUGUAGGCUAAACUAGCCUACUAAAAUGUCUUAUAUUUUGAUAUGGAGGGGAUACAAUCUUGCAAAGUUAGUUCUAACACGGAGCUGGGCUAUCCCUUGCUUAGUACACCAUCACUCCAGACCUCACACAAGUAUUUAGUUAAACCAAGUAAUAUUUAGUUCAGACAUGGCUAUGUUAGUCGGGAGGGCAUUGGUACGCCCAGUCCACCAGAGUUCAAGCCCUAAAUUUAGCGCUUUGGUGUAUCAUAAAAGUGGAAAAUUCUUUAUAAAAGGAGUCAAGUAUUUACAAAAAGCAGGGAUGGAGAUACAGUAAACAAAUGGAACGGGCUGACAAAUUCAUCUUGUCGGGCCGUUGGACACCUUUGAUCUUUCAACGAGAUCCACCUGCGGAGCAGCAGCCUGGUCGUGGUGGGCCGAGCAGGGUGCGUGUGUGACUUGGCAAAAAAAAAAGGCGGAAGCCAGAAGUGAGACUAUCGGCAUUUCCUAUUUGGCGCGUUUAGCACUCGUUAUUUUGCAUUUUGCAAACGGGCACACACUCCCCCUCCGCAUUGGGCCGACCCAUUUGCUUUUUUCUGUUUAAACUAUAGAAAAGGUGUGCUCGCCCUGACUCGAACUCGUGAUCUCUUCAUUGAGUAUAAACCACAUUAACCACUAUGACAACUUAGCGCUUGUUCCUUCUUACUUUUUAAAAAUUUUAGUUCGCAGAAAGCCCCCGGUAGCUUCCCAACCUAGUUUUUUCCACUUUGCUGGACAGGUUUCAGACGGUUCUUAAUUGGCUUUUCUUCCUUUUUAUUUUUUCUUGUUUCUUUGUUUUUUAUUUUUUCUGGUUUUUUUCCUUUUCAUAUUUUAUUUUUUUGUUUUUCUUAAAUGCACGAUUUUGUUUCAAAAUUGAUGACAUUUUCAAUUCACGAACUUUUCUUCAAAAUUGAUGAACUUUUUAUCAAAAUCCUUGAACUUUUUUCAAAAUCAAUGAACAUUUUUCAAGAUUAUGAACUUUUUCAAUUUUGUACACUUUUUUCAAAAUUGAUGAACUUUCUUUCAAAAUAGAUCAACUUUUUAAAAAAAAUUGAUGAACUUUUUAUCAAAUCCAAUGAACUUCUUUCAAAAUCGUAGACUAUUUUAAAAUUCGUGAACUUUUUUUAGUUUGUUACCCUUUUUCAAAAUCCAUGAAAUGUUUUAAAUUCGUGAUGUUUUUCAAUUUUUGUGAUUUUUUAAAUAUUUUUUCAUUUUCUCGAAAAGACAACAGUUGACCGGUCAACCAUUUUAGCGAAAAACCAACUGCGUCUGGCGAGGGGACUACACUGUUAAUGGUUAAUGGGCCGGCCCAGUGCUGUAGCUUAGUGGGCACCAGUCUCCUAGCUGGUGCAUAAGGCGCCUGCCGAGACAGUCGGGAGGCUUGGACUGUUGACAAGUGUGAUCGGACUGCUAGAGAGCAUCCACCCGAAGAAAAGGCCGGUAGCAAGCUCAAGUUAUUCCGGGAGGCCGUGGGUGGCUUAGUUUUACUAUUUUUCAACUCAUAGUACUCUCUCCAUUUGGUAUUAAAGGGUCACCGAGUAGGAUUUGAAUUUGUGAGGCCGAUGUUAUUAUGGAGCAGUGAUUUCUCUACACCCCUUCCCCCUCCCAUAUGUGCCUUGAUUCAUUAUUUUUGAGGGUUCGAAUCAAAACCCGGAUGAACAAAGUGGUGCCAAGCUUCUUGAAUAAGAGAGUGCCCCAAAAGGUAAAAGUCGUGUUCUAUAGGAUGAAGAUUCGACCCUCAUUAUUGAAUGAUGGUUAACUAAAAGGCGACACAGGAUGAAGAUUCGACCCUCAUUAUUGAGUGAUGGUUAACUAAAAGACGACACAAGAUGAAGAUUCGACCCUCAUUAUUGAGUGAUGGUUAACUAAAAGACGACAUGUGUAGAGUUAGGUGUUGGACGUAAUAGAGUUAGUGUAGCCCUAAUUGAAGAGAAGUCUUAUCCGACAACAACGAUUAAAGCGGGUUGAUAAUGUCAAAAAAGGUCAAUAUAGACCAAACUUGAGAGGAGGCCAUAAAGGGGGGGUAAGAGUAUCACCAAAAGCCGACGAGUUGAUUUCAGGAUCACAUGGGUUUAAGCUCUUAAGCACCAGCUUGUUGGGAGGCUUUGUUGAUCUCUUUAUCCUUUGAAUCAAAAAGGACCUGACCAAAAUUUCUUAUUUCUGAAAAUGUUCAUCCCUUCCUCUAAAAACUAACUGCAGGUUUUAAAACGACCAUUACAAAUUCUAUAGGGAGGUUCCAGAAAUAUGCUACAGUGCGAUUUUGCUGUCUUUUAUAAGAGCAGUUUUUUCAUUGACCAAAGGGAUUUCCGUAAACGGAAAGAGCUGGGGAGCUAACCCCACCCAGCCGAGACGCCGAAACAGAUAUAAUACUGUCGCAUUGUACAGAAAACUAUUCCCUCCGUCCCAUAAUAUAAGAGCGUUUUUGACACUAGUGCAGUGUCAAAAACGCUCUUAUAUUAUGGGACGGAGGGAGUACAACCUAUAUAUGACAAGUAAAAUAGCCAAGCCGAUCCAAACCACUAGACUAGACAAGGAGCAACACAGUAAAAGCAUUUCUUGAAGUGAAGUAACGCGCGCGGGGUGGAUGCGGGUGACUCAAAGCAGACAUGUGUAACAGAUUAGCACACUUCUAAAUCACCUCCAUCGUCUACGUACGUCAUCUCAGUCUUUAGUCAUCUCCGUCCUCUUCGGCAUCGUCCUCACUGAUCUCGGAGUCAUCUUCAAGAUCCCCACUCGUCUCAGAGUCAUCUCCAUCCCCUUCAAGAUCCUCGCUCAUCUCGGAGGCAUCAUCAUCUCCAUCUUCAAGUUCCUCCAGACCUGCACAAAGAAACAAUGAUCCAUGAUUGGGAUAGCAAUCAUUUGUGUUAUGAAAUUCCUUUAGCCAGCAGACCCAAUAAAUGAAAAAAACAUUCCCCACUGAAAGCAUUGGAAUAAACCAGUUUAGUAGAUCUCCUACAUACCAAUCUCAUGCAAUUCAGGACACCACCUGAAUAAAUUGAAACAAGGUCGCAUUCAUUAGGUUUUGAAACAAAAAAAGACUUCUAUAAUGCAACAAGCGGAUGUUUCUAGAGUAAAGCAACAUAUACUGCAACAACAAAUCUAUACACAUGAGUGAAGAACAAGUUCACCUGUCUGUAGCAGCAAUCACUUCAUCAUGGAAAUCCUCCACCGAGUCAUAUUGAUUCAGGAAAUAAACCACCGUGGGAUCCGACACGUCAGUUCCUUGAGAUUAAUCAAAGAUAUAUUUAGUGCUGGUGAAAUUUAAAAUCCCGGCAAUAUAGUGAUCAAUUAACUAAUGAAAUGCAGUUGAAGCAUCAUAUUUUCAGCGUGCAAGUUGGGUACAAUCUUAGAAAUAAGAUGUCAACUUAAAAAGACAAAGAUCUAAUCAAGCUGGACAACGAUCUCAUAAAUAAGAUAUCAUAUGAAGCUGGACAACAAUCUUAGAAAUAAGAUGAUGUCUGUACAUGAAGUUCCAAACUGUGUUCCAGACUGAACAGACUUUUCCACAUUGUGCUGACCUUAUUGAUUCACUCUGCAUGUAUAGGUUGAAUAGACAGAGAGACGCUCCUUUUGGUUUCAUGAAUGAGGAUAAAUGUAAAGGAUUAAAAUAGCUUUGUGGUAGCAGGAUAUAUAUAGAAGAUUUAUUAAUAUAUUUUGAUGGCUGAAUGUAAAGUAAAUACAUGUGGGAUCUGGGGCAGCGCAUGCAUGUGUGGCUUAAAAAACAUUGUCGCCUGGCAAAAUGCUGGCACGAGAAGCUUGCUGGACAUGCUUGCAUGGAACUCUGACGAAUGAAGCUAUGCCUUUGGAUUGCGCUAUAAAAGUGCAAGUUUUGUUGUCUGAGUCUUCCUGUUUGGAGGAUUGAGGGAAGGGGAUCAGAGGGGCAAAAAAGAUGAGGGGUCGCAGCGGAAGGCCAGGAAUAGAGGUAACGGAGGAAAAAAAAGUUUUGACUCCAGCGGCUCGCCACAGCUGACAGGUCACCAAGAAUUUCAGUCCAAGCUUACAUGAAGAACAAUGACUGCUUCGGGUAAGAGAACAGAGGCGUGUGGAUGAGGGAUCGAUGUGAGAGAAAAGUGGUGGACGGUUACUUUAAAACGUGUCAUUAAGUAAGUAAAUUGGAUUGUUACACAAGCCAAGCUGUAGGAACAUAAUAGAGUGAAUUUCAAGCAUAAUGGACUGAUGUAAACAAGAAAUGUCUUCAAACUGUGUCAGAACAGCCUAAUAACAACAUAUACAAGACAGGCCACCACCAAGUAUAUAUGGUGCAUUCUCUGUUACAGAGCACCACAAGGCUGCCUUGGCUCACCUUCAAGCAGCGGUGUGUGUCGCCGUUGAAUGUGGACGGCGCAAAGGGCAGCUCGUGUUGUACAUGCGGGAACUUGAUUUGGUGAAGCACCGGUUUAUCGUCGAAGGGGUCGCAGGCAAGUACACAGUAGGAGAAGUCGAACCACCAGAGCAAACCUUGAUGGGUGAGAACGCCGUCACCGCGCCACACUUGUUUAUCCAAGAUUUUCGAGCAGUCGGGCUCCUUCUCGACCCACGAGUACAAGUCGACCGUGCAGAAGAGCGUGAAGAAGACAACCUCUUCGGAAAAGCACGGGUUGAGAUCGGCCACCAUGAGAAGCCUGCGGUUGUGAUCGCGGAUGAGGCCGACGCAGUGGCGGCAGUUGAAGCCGCCGUCGUGGGGGAAGAUGCCCGUCGUCCUGCGGAAGAACGGAUCGCAGAUGUAGACGGCGAGCCCGAAGGAGGCGUAACCGCAUAGCAGAAGGUGGCCGCUGCGGUCGGCGGCCGCGAUGUAGGGGUACUCGACGAGUCCGGCGGGGCUGGCGACGCUGCUCUCGACGAAUAGGCGGGAAGGUAGCGGAACCUUGUUGAAGGUGAAGACCGCGUUGGGGAAUUUCGGGGGCUUCAUGAAAUCUUCCGACACAUCCGGAACAGCGUACAUGAUGUACCACUGCUCCUCCUGCGCCGCCGGGGCCAUUGCUCCUAGGGAUGGGGAUGGGAGGGAGGAGUUGGAUCGGUUAGGGUUCCCUGAGAUGUGUGCGGGGACGUGCAAUGUGGUCGAUGGGAGUUGGUUUUUUUUUAGGGGGGAAAUCUUGCCGCUUUAUAUUUAACUAAACAAAGUUUGGGAUCUCAUCCGAAAUUAUAUCAAGAAUAAAGUCUGGUGGAGAAUCCACCCAAACAACACUUCUUUCUCCUACUCCUACCCUAGCAAGCUUAUGCACGGCAGUAUUCCCAGUACGACGAACCCAAGACACUUUGUACUCCGUGAAAGAGUUAAGCAUCUCGUUGAUCUCCUGAACCCAUGGUCCAACGGCAGACAAAUUCCGAGUAGGUUGAUUUAUCAUCUGCACAACCGACUUGCUGUCGAGUUCCACAUGCACUCUCGGUACCUGUCUCUCCAGCGCCAUCUGGAUCACCUUCCUGCAAGCGAGGACUUCCGCAGCUUCUGGAUCGAUGAUGUGUGGGUAGAACUGACAAGCCCCCACUAUAUAUGCUUCUUGAUGAUCUCUCAACACCGCUCCGCCUCCACCUUUGUCAUUAUGCCGAGAAACCGCACCGUCCACCUUUGUCAUUAUGCCGAGAAACCGCACCGUCGGCGUUGAGCUUAAUCCAUCCCUCAUCUGGUGGUUCCCAUCGCUGUAUCACCAUCGGCUCCGGGACCGGCCUGCUCUUCUCAUGCGCCAGCUUCCAUUCUGCAAGGUGUAGCUUAACCUCCAUCGCUAUUUCAUGUGGUGCGCCAUUCUCUUCCCAUCCCUCGCUUCGUUCCUCGCAAGCCACAGACUAUAGACAGCCUGGAUCAUGAGCUCCUUCUCCUUCCCAGCCGCCCAGACGAACCAGCCCAAUAGCCAAGAGGCAACUGCAUUCUGGGAGUGAAUCUGGCACAGCGGGAUCUCCACCGCUGCUCCCAAUUCCGAACACAAUGCCUUCCAGAACUGGAUUGAAUGCUGGCAUGUCCAAAAACGGUGAACCACCGUCUCUUCUCGUCCACAUGCCGCACAAAAAACAACCGGUUUGAUCCGACGAUGAAACAACUCCGACCCAACUGCUAGACCAUUGCGAAUAAGGCGCUACAUGUGGAUCUUGGUCUUCCCCGGAGCACUAGUUUCCCACAAUGCCAUGAAACCCUUGUGUCUGUGGACUGAAGAAGAGGACUCCGGCCGUCCGGACCUCGUUUGGUUUAUUCACAUACGCAGGUGGUACGCACUCUGAACCGAGAAAACACCAUUCUUCGUCAUGUUCCACGCUAAAAAAUCAUCCUCUCCGUGGCCUUCGAUUGCAAUCUGCUGAAUAUCUGCUGCAUCUCCCGGGGUGAACAUGGCAUCCACACGGGCUUCAUUCAGCCAGCCCCAUCGGGCAGGAGGAGAUCUGCCACUUUCGUUACUCCCGGCAUAUAUGUUUGUCCCAAAGGCUUCGUACUCCCCUCUCGUGGUAUCCAAGGAUCAUGAUGGAUGUUAAUUCUGGUUCCAUUCCCAAUUCUCCAUAUGAGUCCUUCCCGGAGUAGAUCUCUCCCAUGCAGCACACUCCUGAACGUGUAGGACCCCGAAGACGGACAUGAAGUCGUAAGGAUAGAGUCAUCCUUGAAAUAAAGUGCUUUGAGCACCCGUGCACAUAACGAGUUAGGCUCCUAUAGGAUGCGCCAAGCUUGCUUGGCCAGAAGGGCUUGGUUGAAAGCUUCCGGGUCACGAAAACCCAUGCCACCAUCCCUCUUACUAGCACACAUCUUCUUCCACGAUAUCAAUGAACCUUCCAUUCACCAUUCAUUGCGCCCCACCAGAAUUUAGAAGAGACAGAAGUCAGGUUCCGGUACAUCUUCUUUGAGAGGCGAAAACAACUCAUGGUAUAGGUAGGUGUCGACUGGUGGCCAGAUUUUAUCAAAACAUCUCUUGCUGCCUUUGAGAGGCCUUGACAUUUCCAUCCACUCACUUUUCCUUUCGAGCUUUCCGUAACAUGCUUAAAAACCCCAUCUUUUGAUCUUCUAACCAGUGUUGGAAGACCAAGAUAUCUCUCACUAAGAGCUUCAGAUUGAAUGCCACAAAUAUUUUUGACUUGUGUCUUGGUCUGCUCUAUGCAUCCCUUCCCAAAGAAAAUAGAGGACUUUUUUCAAGUUAAUUUUUUGUCCAGAAGCUUUUUCAUACUUGAUCAAUAUCUCACACAAAGUCUCCAUAUUUUCCUUGGUUCCUUCCAGGAACACAAUGCUGUCAUCCGCAAAUAGGAGAUGUGUUAUAUGGGGGCCAGUGCUCCCAAACGACACACCUUUCAGAUUUUUGUCCUCCUUUGCUUUAUUGAGAAGAGCAGAGAAACCCUCCACACAAAAUAAGAAUAAGUACGGUGAAAGCGGGCCACCCUGCCUGAGUCCUCGCGUGGGCUUGAAUCUCCUCGAUAGACCACCAUUUAACUUGACAGCAAAUUGCGUCGACGUAACACACCUCAUCACCAUAGCCACCCCACAUAGGAUGAAAACCAUACUGUACCAUCAUCUGUUCAAGAAAAACCCACCGCACCCUAUCGUAGGCCUUCAUCAUGUCCAGUUUUACCGCACAAAGAGUCUUUUUCCUCUUACGAGUCCGGAUAGCAUGAACACACUCAUACGCUACAAGGACAUUAUCCGUAAUGAGGCGACCCGGAACAAAGGCACUCUGUUCCUCAGAGAUAAGAAUAGGGAGUAUCCCUUUCAAUCUGUUAGCAAGAACCUUUGUCGCCAUUUUAUACAGAACAUUACACAGGCUAAUGGGGCGAAACUGUGAUAGCAGCUCCGGCGAGUUUACUUUGGGGAUCAUCACAAUGAUAGUGGCGUUGAACUCCUCCGGUGUUGCUGCUCCAUUCAAGAAGUCACGAACCGCCUGACACACAUCGUUUUCUACCAGUGGCCAGUGCCUCUGAUAAAACAGUGCGGGAAGCCCGUCCGGCCCCGGGGCCUUUGUAGGGCCCAUCUGAAAAAGUGCCACCUCUAUUUCAUCAUCAGUGAUAGGUGAGGUGAGCUUAUGAUUCAUCUCCGGAGUGACUAAGAGUGCAAUGUUCUGUAACAGCCCUUCGGUGUCCACUGACCCCUCGGAUUUGAACAAGUGUUCAUAAAAACUCACAGCCAUCUCUCUCAUAUCCUCAUCUACCGUGCACCUUGUGCCAUCAUCCUUCCUCAAAGCCUUCACAGUGUUUUUCCUCUUGCGAUGAGAAGCACGGUUUUGAAAGUACUUAGGGUUUUGAUCCCCAGCCUGUAGCCAGUCCACACGUGAUUGCUGUUUGUAUAGUAGCUCUUCCCGCGCAUAAAUCUCCCUUAGUUGCUCCUCCAAAUCCCGGACCUCUAGUGAGGAUCCAGUCUGAAGGUCUCUGGUUCGGGCAUCGAGCAGUUGCACUUUGAGCUUCGCUAUCUGUCGACGAAUGGAGCCAAAAACUUCCCGCGCCCAUCGCUGCAUAUUACCUGUCGUCGUGCAUAACCUACUCCACACCGCUAUGAGCGAAUGAUCACCCGUUGCUGCCGCUUCCCAAACCUCCUGAACCAUAGCAUCAUAAUUUUUGUGCCUCGUCCAUGCUUCCUCGAAUUGGAAAGCUCUCGGUCCCCUCCUCUCAGUACGCGGAGCCGUCUCCAACGCCUGAAUGAGGAUGGCCUGAUGGUCUGAUUCCUCCGUGACCAAGUGUUCGACAGAGGUCUCUGGGAACAUGUCUAGGAAGCUCGCCAUGCACGUCGCCCUGUCCAGUCGGACUUGGAUGUUAUCCUCCCCAUCCCUCUUAUUAUUCCAUGUAUAGGGCUACCCCGAAAAACUUAAGUCCGCAAGGCCACAAUCAGCCAAGCAAUCUCGGAAAUCCUCCAUCUGUGCAAACGGCCUCGGGUUGCCCCCCUUAUGAUCUGAUUGAAACAGGGCUUCAUUAUAGUCCCCAGCACAAAUCCACGGCAAGUUGUCUUGCGCCCUCAAUUACCUGAUAGCGUCCCAAGAUUUUUUACGAAGUUCCGUUUUUGGCUCCAUGUAGAAACCAAUGAAUCUACAGGUUUUGCCCUCCCACACCAUCUCCGCAUCAAUGAAAUAUUGGCUCCAUGGCCUAAUAGUCAUAGUGACUGAGUCUCUCCACCAUAGUGCCAAUCCUCCGCGAAGCCCCACACAAUCAACUGCUACUCCUUGCUUAAACCCUAGCCUCCACUUUAAUCGCUCCAUUGCUCUCGCCUUCUUCUUUUGUCUCGCAAAGAAAAACCACCGCCGGGUUGUAGGACCGUAUCAGGUCUCUUAAUUCGUCAACUGUCGAGUCCAACCCCAAUCCUCGACAGUUCCAGGCCAAGAGAUUCAUGGCGUCCGGCGGCCCCCCACCUCGGGAUCUGCCGAUAUGUCCUGGUUUUCGGAGAUGCGAUCAAACACAGUAUUCGUUUUCUGUCGCUUAUCACGAAUGAAAGCCUCAUUUGAAGUCUGUCUGUCAGGGUCAUCCUUUGCCACCCAAAAUUGCUUCGGCCCCCUCUUGCGUCCACCGUAAUCAUACCUUGGCAGGUUCCUGGCAAAUUGCACCUCUCUAUACUCCUGCCUUGGCUUUCUAACAUAGUGCCCCUUGGUCCUGUUCCUGCCGCGCUCCUCCCCUGGCCCGAACCGGCUCUGGUCAUCACCUCUGAAUUCACCCAAGUUUUGUAACCGUCCCGCAAACCUUCUCUCCCUCUCCGCAUGCCCCGGGCUGCCAUCAUGAUAGACCUGUUGCUUCUCUUGUAACUUGUUCCUCAGGUCCUUCUCUCUCUUUUUUUCAAGGCCGUGUCGCAGGUCCAGCUCCCUGGCCUCCCCCCGUCAUUCCCAGUCCUUUAUGGGGUUGUUUAUUUCCCCCCUCAUUGAUCUAGAACCACCGCCAGUGCGGGGAUCCGUCGAUCGUGAUAGUUCCUCAUUCAAGUUGCGUUUAAUUGGUAUAUCCUGUUUUCCUUUACUCUGGCGUCCCCGGUCGAUGUCGCCGAUUCUGCCACUACCCCAACUGUUAUUGCUGCUCAUAGACUGGCCAAAGGACCCCUCCUUUUCAUUUCCUUUCCUGCUGAGUGAUGCUCUAAGCCAUCCGCCCCAUUGAGCCGAUGAGUCCGUUGGAGGUACACAAACGCCUCCCGCAUGCACUAACCGGCCACAUUCAAAGCAAAAAUGAGGGAUUUUUUCGUAAUGAAAAUCAAACCAUGGCCCAUCCUUGUCAUCCCGUGAGGUUUGAGGUAAAAACCUCUCACCAGAGGCUCGAACAUAGAAAUUCUUGCUCUCACCCUUAGAUUGUUGCCUCUGGCCACCCCCUCACUGUCACAGUCAACUCGAACAAUGUCCCCCAACCAGUUGCCUAAUGCCUUACCAAACUUUUCAGUUCUCUUAUCUGGGGGUAGAUCAUCCACCCGGACCCAUACCUCUAUAGAAUCAAAAACCAUCUCAGACGGUCGUUUAUUUUCUUCAUAUUCCUUGAGAAUAAGCACGCUGAAAUUGUACUGCCAGGGUCCGUUGUUCAUUGCAUGUUUAUAAUCCCCCUCACUUCCAAAGUGCACCUCAAACACAUUCGAUCCCAGGUCUCGAAAUCUUGCUUCUCUGUGCAGUCCCCACGCUCUCGUCAUCGUUCGUUCCAAAGCGCUCCUGAUCAUUGGUCUGUUUGAACAUACCUUCCCAACUGCUGACCAUCUUGAGCUUUUGGGUAGCACCUCCUCCUGAUCAUCAAACACCAAACCUUCCGCCUCCUUAUCCAUCAGUACCAUCCCACCCAUCCUUGCCGAAAGACUCGACAUCGGAUCCGGGGUUUUUCUCUCAACUGGGGAUUUUGAAGAACCCCUGCUCAAUGAAUCUCCCGUCUUGCGCACCGGCGUAGCCAUCGCAGCCCGAGUUGUACCAGCCGGUGUUUUGUUCCGCUGUGCCGACACCCCCGGCGCCGUCGCCGGAGGCGCGGUUCCUCGCUGGUUUGUGGAGACCGACGCCGUAGCCACAGAUUUUGGCAUCGAAAAGGCCAUCUUCUCCUUCAUCGUAGCCUCACCCUUAGCAGGUGUAGGCCCUCCACGUUUCUGUGAGAUCGCCGCCGCCGCCGUAGAUGCCAUUGCCCCUGAAGCCGCCGUCGUCUUCUCUGGUGCUUUCUCCACCAUGGCUCCGCCCGCAGCAGAGAGGGAAACACCACCGAUCCGGGACUGAGUCAGCACCGUCGCCUUCCCGAUCCUGAUCGGAAUCUCUCUCACCCCCGUAGCGAAAACCCUAACCCUAGCACGCGAGCGCAAUCGCCUCACGUCACCUUAGCGUUUUCCCACGUGGUGGACCCCGGGGAGUUGGUUUCUUUAAGGAGUAUGUUUCAAGUUUAUUUUUCUUUCUUUAAGGAGUUCUUGUUUUGAAAAUUGUUCGGAAACUUCAAAAAUGUUUGCGCUUACAAAAAAUUUCAAAUUUUAUAAAAAUGGGUGUGUUUUCAAUUUUUUUUUCCUAAAUUCAAAAAUUGUUUCCAUUUUUAGAAUUUGUUUCGGAAUUUCUAGAAACGUUCCAUUUUUCUGAAAAUGUUUGCAUGUUUUUGUUCUUGUAUUGAAAACUUGAUCACGAAUUCAAGAAAUGUUCUUCUUUCAAAUUGUUGGUCAUGUAUUAAAAAUAUGUUCAUGUUUCAAUCUUGUUGGGAUUUUCAGAAUUGUUCUCCCUUUCAAAAUUGUUCUAAAAAUUCAAAAUAUGUUCGUUAUUUUAAAAAAAAUCCCCGUUUUGAAAACAAUUCUCAUAACGCGAAAAAAGUUCAUGUUUACAAAAAUGUUAAGAAUAUUAAAAAUUGUCCCUGUUUAUAAAUGAUGUUCACGUUUUAAAAAAAUGUUUGGGAAUUUCAAAAAAUGUUCGUGCUUCUCAAAAAUUGUUCAACAAUUCAAAAAAUGUUCCCAUUGUGAAAAACUGUUCAGAAUAUUAAAAAUUGUCUCACAAAUUCAGUAAUGUUUGUGUUUUCAAAAAAUGUUCGGGAAUUUUGAAAAAAGUUCAACAAUUCAAAACAGUAAACAGGCACUCUCGCUACAGCACCCACUAUUGGGCCGGCCCAGUCACGGGGUCCCUGUGCGUCGGUCGCGUGGCUGUUCGAGGCAAAACGCGUCGAAUAGGAGCUCCUGAGCUCCUGUAUGACGCUUGUUAGCGUCAAACAGAAGAGCUUCCGCACAGGGCUCGCGCAAACGAGCCGUCCCAUUGAUAGGCCAAUGUAAGAAAAAAAGUAACGAACGAAAAAUCAUAGCGCUAGUUGGUUUCCAACUUGCGACCUUGCACUGGAUAGCCACGUCGAAUGCCACUCCCGCUAGCAACUGGUAUUAUUUUUAACUAUAUCGUAAACUUCAAGUACCAUGUACAGCGGCAGAUCGGUUUUUUAAUCUUCAUUCAAAAAAAAUGAAUAAUGUUUUCUUGAACAAAUUUUGAAACUCGAACAAACUGUUAAAACAUAUUUUUUUAAAACUUACAAAUCAUUGAAAACAUGAACACAAAUUUAUUACUUUUUUAUAUACGAUGAAUGAUUUUCAAAUAUACACUGAACAUUUUUUAGAUGUACGAUGAACAAUUUUGAAGAACAUAGUGAACAUUUUCGUGAUAUACACUGAACAAAACUUAAAACAUAAUGAACAUUUUUGUGAUAUACCAUGAACAAAUUUUGAACAUUCAACAUUUUUAUAAUAUAAUCUGAACAAUUUUUAACCACGCAUUGAACAAUUUUGUGAUAUGCGCUGAAAAAACAUUUAAAUACCCAUUAACAUUUUGUGAUAUACACUGAACAAUUUUAAAAUUUUAACAAAAUUUGAAAAAGUUAAUAAAAUUAUAGAAAACUGUGAACGCGUUUUGAAAUAACGAAUUUCGUUGGGAUUUCGAAACAUUUUCUUGAAAACAAAGUAUAAAAAUAGAAACGAAAAAUGAUAAAAUGAACGGAAAGGAAAAUGAAAAGAAAUACAAACAAAAACAGAAUAAAAUAGAAAUAAAAAAUGAAACAGGGAAAAACCAGCAAAACAUUGAACAUUUUUGUAAAAAAAUACGCUGGAAAUUUUUUAGCUAAACAUUGAACAUUUUUGUGAUAUACACUGAACAAAUAUUUAAAUAUACAUUGAACAUUUCUGUGAUAUACGAUGAAGAAAGUUUUGAAUUGUGACAAUUUUUUAAAAAAGUGAUUUUUUGGAAACCAUUAACAUUUUUUUAUAUCAUGAACAAAAUUAUGAAUUUCAAACUUUUUGAAAACAAAGAAUAAACAAAUGAAAAAGAACAGAAGCAGAAAAAAAGGAAAAAAGAAAACAGGCAAAAAGGGAAAACCGACAAAAAGAAAAAAACAAAAAAACCCGGUUAAGGGAACCUUCUAGAAGGUUCCCAAAAUUGGUUGCCAGGAGCUGCUUUAAACGCUCGUUAUGGGCCAGCCCAUUUCGCACGCGCUUCAGCAAAAGCGGCGCAGCUGGACGCUCGCGCCCGUCACAUAGGGUUCGCCCCCCCCCCCCAAGGGCGUUUUUAGGCAAAAAAAAUAGCGCAUGUUGGGGUUGGCCGGUACUGUUUUUGGCGUGGGAGGCUCGGGGAGUUUCAACUCAAAUUCGGCACGAAUUCGUUACACUUCGGCACAAAUUCAGCAAAGAAUAAUUUUUAUCGCAUAGUUUAUCACAAAUAUUAGUACAAAUCAAAUAGUUCAACGAAGCAAGCUUAUAAUUCGAACACAAACUAAAACACAUCAAACUAGGCGUUGCCUUUGAGCCUCCAUAGGUGCUCCACCAGAUCGUGCUGCAGUCCUUAUGCACAUAUAGCUCUCGGAUUCCUAACGCAUAUUGAGGAAGGCAGCCCAUGCUACCGGUACCUGGUAAUCAACACCUGCAAUAUGGUUCAGUGUCAAACACUGGCUCGUCCUGCUCGCUCUCAAUGAUCAUGUUGUGCAAGAUGACACAUCAAUUCAUCACAUCCCACAUCUGAGAUUUCGACCAGGCCAGAGCGGGGUACUAGACAACAGCAAAUCGAGAUUGGAGCACACCAAAUGCACGCUUGACAUACUUCCUGCAAGCCUCCUGACACUUAACAAAGCAGGAUUUCUUGCCUCCUGGCACAGGGUUUGAGAUAGUCUUCACAAAUGUUGACCAUCUUGGAUAGAUGCCAUCUGCUAGGUAGUAUCCCUUGUUAUAGUGGCGCCCAUUGACCUUGAAGUUCACCGGAGGAGCAUGACUUUAACAAGCUUGGCAAAGACAUUCGAGCACUGCAGGACGUUGAUGUCAUUGUAAGUUCCUGGCAUACCAAGAAGGAGUGCCAAAUCUAGAGGUCCUUUGUAUUGCCUCAAGUACCACACCGCAAGCUCCUUUCGCUCCUUUCUACAUUCCCUGCCAGGCAAAUGGACAGUUUUUCCAUGCCCAAUCCAUGCAUUCGAUGCUUCCAAGCAUCCCAGGAAAUCCUCUUGCUUCUGUGCUAGGAUCCGAGCAGUGUCUUCAGCAUUGGGUGACCGCAAGUAUUCUGGUCCAAACACUUCCACCACUGCCCUGCAGAACUUGUACAAACACUAGGCCAUGCGUCCAAAUCUCUAGUCGCAUGUGCUUCUACCUCGCCGACAAACUGGAAGGGAUGGCCUUCCCCAACCCGGGGCUCUACACCCAUGUGAAGGGCAAGGAACAGUAGCAAUAGGUUGCUGAGGAUUUUGAGAAAAUCAAAUAGUGUUCCGGAGAAUUUUGUGAAUCAGAUGAACAACUAGGAAUGAACAAAUCCUUAAUACGUGUGAGGAUUAUUCGUAGGCGUAUUCAUGCAACAAAUAUCUAUAAGGCAGUGGCACAAGGGAUUCUUAAAAAGUUGGAGAAUAAUUUGAUGCACCUUGUAAUAACAAGAGCAGCUGGGAAUGAAAGUAAGAACGACAGGUGUAUGUAUUUAUCCAUAGGGAUAUAUCAGUGGUAGGGGAUUGCAAAAGCGACGGGCACAGAGUCUCGAGAGAGCAUCGGAGAGUAUCUUCGAAAUCUUCUGGUGUAGCAGGCGAUCAUCUGGACUGAAUGGGCUCUCCGGGAGAAAGUAUUUUCGAGAACCUAAAGUUAGAUUUUUAGCAAAAUUAUUUAAACCGAAUAUAAGAGAUAUCAGAACCCCAGAGUAUAGACGAGGAAUAAAAGAUCCUAAUACCACCCAAAUGGCUACAUGGACCCGUAAGCCACACAACCAUGUUAGCAAAAAGUUAUUCAAUGACUAGACUCAACUUCGGCCAAGGAGUUGGAAAGGGGGAUUCCUACUGGCAGUCGGCUCUGAUACCAACUUGUGACUCCCCUGAUUUGACCAUACACAAAUCAUACACGCAAAUGCGUACGACCAAGAUCAGGGACUCAUGGGAAGAUAUCACAACACAACUCUAGACACAAAUUAAAGUCAUACAAGCUUUAUAUUACAAGCCAGGGGCCUCGAGGGCUCGAAUACAUAAGCUCGAAAGCACAAUAGUCAGCGGAAGCAACAAUAUCUGAGUACAGGCAUAAGUUAAACAAGUUGUCAUAAGAUGGCUAGCACAAACAGGGAUAAAGAUCAAAAAGGCAAGGCCUCCUGCCUGGGAGCCUCCUAACUACUCCUGGUCGUCGACAGCCUCCACGUAGUAGGAGCAUCCGUCGGGGAUUUAGUAGUCGUCAGCGGUGGCAUCUGACUCCUAGGCUCCAACAUCUUAUCGCAACAUCCGGAAAGUAGAGAGAAGGGGGAAAUGGGUAGCAAAGCAACCGUGAGUACUCAUUCGAAGUACUCGCAAGACUUACAUCAGAUCUAAACUACAUAUGCAUUGGUAUCAAAUGAAUGGGGUAAUAUCUGUGGACUAAACUGCAGAAUGCCAGAAUAAGAGGGGGAGAAGCUAGUCCUAUCAAAGACUACGCUUCCAGUAACCUCCGUCUUGCAGUAGUAGAAGAGAAUAGCAGAUAAGUAUCAACACAUAGCAUAACCCACCUGGCGAUCCUCUCCUUGUCACCCUGUGAGAGAGCGAACACCGGGUUGUAUCUGGAAGUUAUCUGGGUGUGCUUUAUUAAGUCGGCUGGUACAUCAUCCUCCCAUAGGAGGCCUUUGCAUCUGGGCGUGUGUGGCCUAUUUUCAUUUCACCCCAGUUAUUCCAUCGAACUAAGUAGCAACAUGUAAGGAGUCAGUUUUCGAGAUACCACACAACACCAAUUUUCCAACGAAACUAAUGAGAAAUAAAAAGGUGCAUCACUCAUUUUCGACCAAAUUAAUUAUGUCUUGGUAUUAGAGUUUUCUCUCUCUGUCCUGAUAAACCCAAACGGAGGGAGUAAAGAUUAUCUAUCUCAACAUCACAUGAUUCUAAAUACAAAACAGAAAACCACGGCUAGAAGAGGACGACAUCUAGAGGCAUUGCUUUUCAUGUACUAAUACCUUGUUAAACACAUUCUCUAACAAAUUGGUUUGGAUCCUUCUUCAACAAUUUCCACACACUACAAGGCCAGUUCACAAAAGCUUAAAGCGUGAGCAUUGGUACAAAACUAGUUGUGGUCUAUCUUGAGAAAAGGGAACACUUAGUACACGAAACGUCACCUGUCUCAACAACUUGCACCAUUUCUGUUGGCUCGCAAAGUAACUUUAUUUAGUAUACCAACUUAAUUUGUGAGCAUUAGCCAAAGCAACACACAAUGGUAGGCAAAAACCAUGUCACUAAGCAAUAAAUAAAGGGGAGCCUCAACCCAUCUAUUCAUCUCCACCACCACCAAAACAACAUUGAAAACAUGAAGACCUUAUUCCUCCUAGCUCUCCUUGCUCUUGUAGCGAGCACAACCUUCGCGCAAUACUCAGAAGUUGGCGGCUGGUACAAUGAAGUUGGCGGAGGAGGUGGUUCUCAACAAUGUCCGCAGGAGCGGCCGAAGCUAAGCUCUUGCAAGGAUUACGUGAUGGAGCGAUGUUUCACAAUGAAGGAUUUUCCAGUCACCUGGCCCACAAAAUGGUGGAAGGGCGGCUGUGAGCAUGAGGUUCGGGAGAAGUGCUGCAAGCAGCUGAGCCAGAUAGCACCACAAUGUCGCUGUGAUUCUAUCCGGCGAGUGAUCCAAGGCAGGCUCGGUGGCUUCUUGGGCAUUUGGCGAGGUGAGGUAUUCAAACAACUUCAGAGGGCCCAGAGCCUCCCCUCAAAGUGCAACAUGGGCGCCGACUGCAAGUUCCCUAGUGGCUAUUACUGGUGAUGAUAUAGCCUCUAUUCGUGCCAAUAAAAUGUCACAUAUCAUAGCAAGUGGCAAAUAAGAGUGCUGAGUGAUGAUCUAUGAAUAAAAUCACCCUUGUAUAUUGAUCUGUGUUCGAGAUACCUGUGUAUUGAGUUUGUUGGUGGUGGUUUGUGUGCAUGUGUGUGCUUCUUUAACAAUAAUAAAAAUAUACAACUUGUUCGAUACUUCACAAGAAGGAGAAGAAGAUUAAAUGAUUCAUACAAGACAACUAUAUUUUGUAUCUAACAUGAUUAUUCUCUCUUUUUUUAGUCUACCAGAUAGCUAAAAGAAAUCUAUAGUAGUCAUUGACAUGUUAAUCGAACCCACAAAUUUGUAUGCACAACCACUCCAUGUAUCUUCUGCACUAUAACCUUAUUCGUCCAUCCAACAACUUGCUCAAUAGUACAAAUCUAGUUUCACCAAAUGUUUAAAUCUAUGGAAGUGAAACUUGCUCACUUGGUUAUGAGAGCAGAUGUACAACCCCACCAUCUGGGUUCAAAGUAUUCGCCGUAGGGAUCUCCUUUGUAAUUUGUUUGAACAAUUGUAUCAACCUCUUUUCUGCGGAAAAAAAAAUCUGGAACAACCAGGCAUGAACCAAAUGAUUAUAAAUACAUGAAAAAACUAAACCAUGGCUCAGAUAAGAUGUCAUCUUGAUUCACUAAAUUUUCUACAUGGAAUCUUAGUGCAUUCCUUAUCAUGUACUGCUAGUUUGUAAGACACAGUCUCCAAUAAAAAAAUACACCAAUUGUAUCUUUUUAGGAUAAAUAUCUAAUAAUUUGGUCUAGAUCCAUCUUUAACAACUCACGAAACACUACAAAAUUAGUUCCGCAAAAGCGUUCGAAACUUUGGUACGGCAUUACUUAUGGUCUAUCUGCAAAUCUUUAUGUGCUUUUAAACUAACUUUUUUCGGCAUCUAACUAAAUUAGCAUGCACUCAGCAAAUCAACACAUAAGAUAGAAGAAAUCGUGUCACCUCAUCGUAAGUACAGAGAGGCCUCAUCUAAUCUCUAUGCAUCUUCACCACCAACAGGACACCAUUGACAAAAUGAAAACAGUCUAGCUGCUUCAUGUAGAUCUCGCUCCUUGCUCUCACAGCAAGCAUCGCCUUCAUAGUUCAUGUUGUACAAGGAAGUUCAGACAGGGGUGGAUAUGCGGCAUGCGCGAUGCAAGAAGGACCAGAUGAUUCUUGCUCGGGGAAGGCGCUCUGAAUCCACUCAAUCACUAGUAACUAGCCUAUAUACAGUGCUAGCCGAUUUGGUUCUCCCUAGCCGCCCCUCCUCCUCUUCUCUUCCUCGCCGCCGCCUGAGGCAGCCGCCGGGCAAGCCCGGGGCGCCAAGGAUGGUGGCGGCGGGGCCUCGGUUGCCCUGCCUCUGCGUGGGGAACCCCGGAUCUGGAGCGGCGGCUUCAUUGGCAAGGCACGGCCGGCUAGCAGCCGUGCGGGCGGUGGAUCUGGCGUCCCGGCCGCACGGGCGGCGGGAUCCGGUGGUCGUUGGCGGCCGGCGGCGGUUUUUGCGGUGGCCGGUGCGCGCGAUCUGGCGUCUCCCCUCCUCCCCUGUUUGGCGUGCAGGCCAACCUCGUCGGGCCGCGCUUCCUUGGGUCGCCGGUUCUGUACAGGAGGCGCUGGUGGUGGCGGGGAUCUAGUUCGGGAGAAAUCCCUGGUCGGCCAUGGCCGGCCACGUCGACGGCGACGUCUGAGGGCGUCGUUCCCCUUCCCCUAGGUCUCCCGGGCGAAAGCCCUAACUUUAUUGGUCGGCGACGGCGCUCACGGCGCCGUUCCCUUCUUGAAGGCGCCGCUUUGGGAACCUUGGGGCUGGGUGGCGCUUGUGGGUGGUGGGCGACGGCGGUGGUGCGGCCCUAUCCUAGCAUGGAUCUGCGUCCGUUGCUUGGAGAUGGACUCACGUAGGUGGAGAUCGUCGUUUGGCGUCAUGGUGACGUCGAUGGCGGAGGCACCUACCAAGGUUGGCACCUCAAUCUGCUCUGAAGAUGGACUAGUGGAAGAUGGCGGCGACGACACAUGUGAGUGCGUCAGACCGGUUUGUGCCCCGGACCCGGUACGUGGCUUGGUCGGGGCCUCCGGCUUUAGAUGUUAGGCUUAGGUGAGAGGUCUGGGUAUUUGGCCCAGCUUGCACCCCUUCAUCAUAUGGAUUGGAGUAGCGGCAGAUGUUGCCAAGAUGGCGGAUUCAGGCAUAUUGUUGUACUACUUUGUAAGGUCCUCGAGAAUAAUCAAUAAAAUGGCCGUAUGCAUCUCCCAGAUGCAGAGGCCGGGGGUCAUCCUCCUUUUCUAAAAAAAAAAAAAAAAACUAGCUCAUUCGGUUUAUACUACUCAGCCAUAAAUAGUUCAGGUACCCGCUUCGAUUUGGUUCAGCCAAGUACUACUAGCUUCAUGACGUAUGAUUUUCUUGGUAUGAUAGGAAACUAAAAGCAAGAUAAGACACGCCACACAUCUCCCUCAUGGUGUAGAGUACAUGAAGCACCAUCGAUCUAUUUAAGUACCACAUGAUUCCAAAUAUAUGACAAAGCAAAAGCAUGUCUGGCUAGAAGAAUACAUCAUCUAGUGAAUCACUAGCGUGUACAACACAAUCUCUAACAAACUCGGUACAAGAUAGGAACAUCUGGAUUCAUCUUGUGGAGUCCUACUAGUCUUAUUUCACAAAAGAACGGAGCAAGAAGCUUCACACCAUAUGGUUUUCUUGGUAUGAAUAUGAUACAAAACCAAAGUGAGAGAGGACGCGCCACACAUCUCUCCUCAUGUUACAAUACAUGAAACAACAUCAAUAUGUUUUAGUACCACGUGAUUCUAAAUGCGUGACAAAUCAAAAGCAUGGCUGGUUAGAAGGGGGCAACACUCUUAUGCAUUACUUAUCAUGUGCAUGUUCAGUUCCACAGAAAAAUAAGGUCUUAAGCAUUGCUACAACAUUACUUAUGGUUUAUCUUGAGAAAAAGAGAAUGACGAUAACACCAUCUGUGCCAACAACUUGAACACUUGUGUGCAUUUGCAGAUCAAGUUACUUUGAUUUAGUACCCCAACUAAAUAUGUAGGCACUAGACAAAGCAAUAGACAAUUAAUGGCACAAGGAAAUUGUGUCGCCUCAUCUAUAAAAAAGAGGGGUCUUAUCUCAUAUAUACAUCUUCACCAAUCACCACCACCAAAACAGUAUUGACAACAUGAUGGCCUUCUUCCUCCUAGUUGUCCUCGCUCUCUGGUAUUAAGCACCGCCUUUGCACAAUACGCGGCGGCAGGGUACGCAGCCGAUGAUGGUGGGGCUAGUGUUGACCAGUGCCAACGGGACCAGAAGAAAUUGGACUCUUGUACGGAGUACGUGAUGGAACGGUGCACGGAUAAGAAGUUUCCGCUCACCAUGCCCUGGAAAUGGAUGCACGCCCCUUGCAACAGGGUCCACAAGCAGUGUUGUGGGCAGCUGGGGCAGUCGCCACAAUGUUUUUUUUGAACAAUCUUAUUAAUAUUUUUUUUGAACAAUCAAAAAAUUUUGUUUGAACAAUCAGUCGCCACAAUGUCGCUGCUAGGCCAUCAAGAAAGUUAUCCAAGCCGAGCUCUUCUAACUUUUCAGCAAGGUUAGAAAUCUAAGGCGAUUCAGAGGGCGACGAUGUUGCCCUCCGAAUGCUGGUUGUUUCCAUACGACUGCAUAAUGAAGGAGAUAAUUGAUAUUUCCUCCUGCUUCCGACGACCAAGCCUCCUGAACCAGGUCACAAGCAGCAGCCAACAGCCACUAGCGACAUGGUCGGACCAGACUGCCAAAGCCAAGUGAAGCUAUCUUUGUAAUCUUAGUUGUUGAUCCACAGUUCCACACUAUCUAUCAAUUUUUUUUACAAAGAUACUCCUUCAUGUCAACUACGGAGUAUUUGGUUAGUCAAGCGUACAGCUUCCAUGUGUUUCUCUGAUUCAAAAACUAAAAUACAACCCUCUGCUGCAGAUUUACCAUGAACCCUGCUAGGCAGAGACAUUCAGAGACGUGUUUAUGGGAGAUAUUCAGUUAUCUACAAGAAGAUGCGGCUUUCUACGUACACUAUCCUUUCAGGCUUUCACCAUGGAACCUCUCAGUCAAUUAGGUAUCCAGCCCGUGUCGGCUAUUCUUGACGCCAUACAACAUAGAUUUGAGCCUCAAGCCCAACCAAUCAUUCACAUGGAAUUGUCAUUUCCUUCCCAAAUCACGGAGAAGCCCAUACUCUGUAGUGCUUGAUUAUUUUCCAGAUGAUAUAUGAACUUAAUGGACGACCUAUCAGAAUUCACCUGUAUGCAUGGCCCGCACAUAAUAUUGCAUAUCUAAUUUACUUAUUCAUCACAUGUCAGAGCAUUUUUCUCCCUCCUUUAAAGCUACAUGGAUCCCCUUUCGUUAAGGCACGGUCGUCUUGAAGAGUUACUCCCUAUGUAAAAUAAUAUAAGAGCGUUUAGAUCACUAGAGUAGUAGUGAUCUAAACGCUCUCAUAUUUAUUCACAGAGGGAGUAUUUUUUACGGUAGUCUUGAAGAGUUGUUAGAGUGGCAGGUUUUGGUUUAGUUUGAGCUGUUAGCCAUGAUCCAUUCUUUUUUUUUCUUCUUCAUGGUGACCUACUUGCUUUUCUUAGGGGUCGUGCUCCACUUGAUACGCACAAAACCUAUGGUCCAUAUGCUCCCAAUUUCGGCCCAUAUGCAAAGAUUUGAGUAAGGAUUUCUAUCUCAUCAAAAUACCAAGUCAAAUUUCUAGGCCCAGACUCAAAGUUGACACUUAGUGUCAAUAGCCACAUGACCUCUUUUAUUUUUCUUAUUCUAAUUUUUUUUUUGAGAAUGACGGGAAAACCCCACCGUUUGUUAUAUUACUCGAAGGACUCGGAAGUCGUACAGUGUUUUCAUCAAAAUGAUAAAAGCAACAAGAUAAAAGAAGACAACAAGGGCGGAGGGAGAGGAGAGACUCGUCUAUGCUAAGCACAAGCAAGGAGCAAGGUGCGAACGACCAUCAGCUGGUGGACCUCAUGGUCACGGAAGCGCCUACUCCAGAUAAGGAGGUCAUCGGACGCCUUCUGAAGAACUGCACUCGCAUCACACUGUUGGCGGUUGAAAACCACGCCGUUCCGUGCCUUCCAAACCUGCCAGAGGAGAACAAACAGCCCGUCUCUCCAACACGAGCGAGAGACAGACUCAGGGGGUGCAGAGGAGAGAGCCUCGCCAACACAACGUAGAGAGCCCAUGCUGAGCCGCCCCCAGACCUCGGCUGCGCGUAUACAGGUGAUGAAGAGGUGGUCAAUGGUCUCAUCGGCGCCACAAGACACGCAUGACGGGGUGGGGGAGCAGCUUUUGGCGUGGAGGUUCACCCGCGUGCUAAGGCGACCGCCGGUGAGAAGACGCGCGAACACCUUGAUCUUCGAGGGGAUGCUGGAGGCCCAAAUCUCGAAGGAGGUGAGGUCGGUGCAGCCGUGCAGAGAGAGCACCCGGUACACUGCACGCGAGGAGAACCGCGUCUCCGGGCCCCAGGCCAUGAUCCGGCGAUCCGCCCUAGGGUAGAGAUGGACGGAACGGAGCACCGCCUGGACCGCCUCCAGCUCCCAAGCGACCACAGCGGACAGCCGCGGCUGGAGCGAGAUGCCGUCCCGAAGGACACCCGCGACGGUGGCGUUAGGCCGCGUCGAGUGGGAGAAGAGAGCCUCAAACUGGAAGCACAGCGCACAUCCAGGGAGCCACCUGUCCGCGAACACCUGUCCUGUCUUAUUCUAAAAUUACCAUUGAUUUUCUCUUUUCUCAUCCUCUUCCUCCUAUCCUGCUCAGUCGGUUGUCUUCCAAGCUCCACGGCCGGCUGCGUAGCCUCACCUGACUGAAUCACGACACACUAUCUUAAUUACUGCCGCCGCCUCCUCCUGCCACCCUCUAACCGGAGACAUGAAUUUCUUCUCCGGCCCCGGUGUCCCACCCCAAACCUUAAACUCUUCACCACGACCUAAAACCUCCACUCUCGCCUCGGUCUUAGACUCGGUCCAUACUCGCCGCUGUCGUCGCGCGCAGCUCCAUGCCAACACUAUCUCUGCCUCGAUGCGCACCAUCGAGUAGCCAGAGGUUGAGGUUGAUGGCGUAUUAAAGAGGGAAAAAAGAUAAUUGUUGCUGUCUAGCAAAUAAAUGCGAAGAUAAAUAUUAGGAUCGGCUAUUAGUAAGUUGCCUGAAAAAAAAUUGGGUCAAUAGAUUUUCUGGACCUGUAUUAAUGAAGUUCCAACGGCCUCACUUCUUUCGUCGUCCUUCAGCCGCCAUUUCGUCGUCUGUCAGAUGGCACGCCUUGCUGCCGCUCGCUACGCCGUCCCCUGCACAGCGAGGGCUUCGUCUAAGGCUGGUCAUAGUGGGAAGUAACUUAGACUAGUAACAUGUACUCCCUCUGUUCCUAAAUAUAAGUCUUUUUAGACAUUUCAAAUGGACUACAACAUACGGAUGCAUGUAGACAUAUUUUAGAGUGUAGAUUCACUCAUUUUGCUCCGUAUGUAGUCACUUGUUGAAACCUCUAGAAAGACUUAUAUUAUGGAACGGAGGGAGUAUAUGUUACUAGUCUAUGUUACUACCUGUUGGAAAUAUGCCCUAGAGGCAAUAAUAAAUGGUUAUUAUUAUAUUUCUUUGUUCAUGAUAAUUGUCUAUUGUUCAUGCUAUAAUUGUGUUAUCCGAAAAUCGUAAUACAUGUGUGAAUACAUAGACCACAACGUGUCCCUAGUAAGCUUCUAGUUGACUAGCUCGUUGAUCAACAAAUAGUCAUGGUUUUCUGACUAUGAACAUUGGAUGUCAUUGAUAACGAGAUCACAUCAUUGGGAGAAUGAUGUGAUGGACAAGACCCAAACCUAAGCAUAGCUCAAAGAUCGUGUAGUUCGUUUGCUAGGGCUUUUCCAAUGUCAAGUAUCUUUUCCUUAGACCAUGAGAUCGUGCAACUCCCGGAUACCGUAGGAGUGCUUUGGGUGUGCCAAACAUCACAACGUAACUGGGUGACUAUAAAGGUGCACUACGGGUAUCUCUGAAAGUGUCUGUUGGGUUGGCACGGAUCGAGACUGGGAUUUGUCACUCCGUGUGACGGAGAGGUAUCUCUGGGCCCACUCAGUAAUGCAUCAUCAUAAUGAGCUCAAUGUGACUAAGGAGUUAGUCACGGGAUCAUGCAUUGCGGUACGAGUAAAGAGACUUGCCGGUAACGAGAUUGAACAAGGUAUUGGGAUACCGACGAUCGAAUCUCGGGCAAGUAACUUACCGAUUGACAAAGGGAAUUGCAUGCGGGAUUGAUUGAAUCCUCGGCAUCGUGGUUCAUCCGAUGAGAUCAUCCUGGAACAUGUGGGAGCCAACAUGGGUAUCCAGAUCCCGCUGUUGGUUAUUGACCGGAGAGGCGUCUCGGUCAUGUCUGCAUGUCUCCCGAACCCGUAGGGUCUACACACUUAAGGUUCGGUGACUCUAGGGUUGUAGAGAUAUGAGUAUGCGGAAACCCGAAAGUUGUUCGGAGUCCCGGAUGAGAUCCCGGACGUCACGAGGAGUUCCGGAAUGGUCCGGAGAUGAAGAAUUAUAUAUAGGAAGUCCAGUUUCGGCCACCGGGAAAGUUUCGGGGGUUAUCGGUAUUGUACCGGGACCACCGGAAGGGUCCCGGGGGUCCACCGGGUGGGGCCACCUGUCCCGGAGGGCCCCAUGGGCUGAAGUGGGAAGGGAACCAGCCCUUAGUGGGCUGGGGCGCCCCAUGGGCCUCCCCCNNNNNNNNNNCCGCUGCCCCCCCUUGGAGAUCCCAUCUCCCAGGGUCGGCGCCCCCCAGGGGGCCUAUAUAAAGGGGGGAGGGAGGGCAGCAACACAACAGCCUUGGGCGCCUCCCUCCUCCCCUGCUACACCUCUCCCUCUCGCAGAAGCUCGGCGAAGCCCUGCCGAGACCCCGCUACUUCCACCACCACGCCGUCGUGCUGCUGGAUCUCCAUCAACCUCUCCUUCCCCUUACUGGAUCAAGAAGGAGGAGACGUCGCUGCACCGUACGUGUGUUGAACGCGGAGGUGCCGUCCGUUCGGCACUCGGUCAUCAGUGAUUUGGAUCACGGCGAGUACGACUCCAUCAACCACGUUCAUUGGAACGCUUCCGCUCGCGAUCUACAAGGGUAUGUAGAUGCACUCCUUUCCCCUCGUUGCUAGUAUACUCCAUAGAUGCAUCUUGGUGAGCGUAGGAAAAUUUUAAAAUUCUGCUACGAUCCCCAACAGUGGCAUCAUGAGCCAGGCCUAUGCGUAGUUACUAUGCACGAGUAGAACACAAAGCAGUUGUGGGCGUUGAUGUUGCCAAGUCUUCUUGCCGCUACUAGUCUUAUCUUGUUUCGGCGGUAUUGUGGGAUGAAGCGGCCCGGACCGACCUUACACGUACGCUUACGUGAGACUGGUUCCACCGACUGACAUGCACUAGUUGCAUAAGGUGGCUAGCGGGUGUCUGUCUCUCCUACUUUAGUCGGAACGGAUUCGAUGAAAAGGGUCCUUAUGAAGGGUAAAUAGAAAUUGGCAAAUCACGUUGUGGUUUUACAUAGGUAAGAAACGUUCUUGCUAGAAACCUAUACAAGCCACGUAAAAACUUGCAACAACAAUUAGAGGACGUCUAACUUGUUUUUGCAGCAUGUGCUAUGUGAUGUGAUAUGGCCAGAAGAUGUGAUGAAUGAUAUAUGUGAUGUAUGAGAUUGAUCAUAUUCUUGUAAUAGGAAUCACGACUUGCAUGUCGAUGAGUAUGACAACCGGCAGGAGCCAUAGGAGUUGUCUUUAUUAUUUUGCAUGACCUGCGUGUCAUUGAAUAACGCCAUGUAAAUUACUUUACUUUGUUGCUAAACGCGUUAGCCAUAGAAGUAGAAGUAAUCGUUGGCGUGACAACUUCAUGAAGACACAAUGAUGGAGAUCAUGAUGAUGGAGAUCAUGGUGUCAUGCCGGUGACGAAGAUGAUCAUGGUGCCCCGAAGAUGGAGAUCAAAGGAGCAAAUGAUAUUGGCCAUAUCAUGUCACUAUUUGAUUGCAUGUGAUGUUUAUCAUGUUUUGCAUCUUAUUUGCUUAGAACGACGGUAGUAAGUAAGAUGAUCCCUUAUAAUAAUUUCAAGAAAGUGUUCCCCCUAACUGUGCACCGUUGCGAAGGAUCGUUGUUUCGAAGCACCACGUGAUGAUCGGGUGUGAUAGAUUCUAACGUUCGCAUACAACGGGUGUUGACGAGCCUAGCAUGUACAGACAUGGCCUCGGAACACAUGCAAUACACUUAGGUUGACUUGACGAGCCUAGCAUGUACAGACAUGGCCUCGGAACACGGAGGACCGAAAGGUCGAGCAUGAGUCGUAUAGAAGAUACGAUCAACAUGGAGAUGUUCACCGAUCUUGACUAGUCCGUCUCACGUGAUGAUCAGACACGGCCUAGUUAACUCGGAUCGUGUUUCACUUAGAUGACUAGAGGGAUGUCUAUCUGAGUGGGAGUUCAUUGAAUAAUUGAUUAUAUGAACUUAAUUAUCAAGAACUUAGUCUAAAAUCUUUACAAUAUGUCUUGUAGAUCAAAUGGCACACGUUGUCCUCAAUUUCAACGCGUUCCUAGAGAAAACCAAGCUGAAAGAUGAUUGCAGUAACUAUACGGACUGGGUCCGGAACCUGAGGAUCAUCCUCAUAGCAGCCAAGAAAGAUUAUGUCUUAGAAGCACCGCUAGGUGAAGCACCAAUCCCAGAGAACCAAGACGUUAUGAACGCUUGGCAGCAGCGUGCUGAUGAUUACUCCCUCGUUCAGUGCGGCAUGCUUUACAGCUUAGAACCGGGUCUCCAAAAGCGUUUUGAGAAACAUGGAGCAUAUGAGAUGUUCGAGGAGCUGAAAAUGGUUUUCCAAGCUCAUGCCCGGGUCGAGAGAUAUGAAGUCUCCGACAAGUUCUUCAGCUGUAAAAUGGAGGAAAAUAGUUCUGUUAGUGAGCACAUACUCAGAAUGUCUGGGUUACACAACCGCUUGUCUCAGCUGGGAGUUAAUCUCCCGGAUGACGCGGUCAUUGACAGAAUCCUUCAGUCGCUUCCACCAAGCUACAAGAGCUUUGUGAUGAACUUCAAUAUGCAGGGGAUGGAAAAGACCAUUCCUGAGGUAUAUUCAAUGCUGAAAUCAGCGGAAGUGGAGAUCAGAAAGGAACAUCAAGUGUUGAUGAUGAAUAAAACCACUAAGUUCAAGAAGGGCAAGGGUAAGAAGAACUUCAAGAAGGACGGCAAGGGAGUUGCCGCACCCGGUAAGCCAGUUGCCGGGAAGAAGUCAAAGAAUGGACCCAAGCCUGAGACUGAGUGCUUUUAUUGCAAGAGAAGUGGUCACUGGAAGCGGAACUGCCCCAAAUACUUAGCGGACAAGAAGGCCGGCAACACCAAAGGUAUAUGUGAUAUACAUGUAAUUGAUGUGUACCUUACCAGUACUCGUAGUAUCUCCUGGGUAUUUGAUACCGGUGCGGUUGCUCAUAUUUGUAACUCAAAACAGGAACUGUGGAAUAAACGGAGACUGGCAAAGGACGAGGUGACGAUGCGCGUCGGGAAUGGUUCCAAGGUCGAUGUGAUCGCCGUCGGCACGCUACCUCUGCAUCUACCUACGGGAUUAUUUUUAAACCUCAAUAAUUGUUAUUUAGUGCCAGCUUUGAGCAUGAACAUUGUAUCUGGAUCUCGUUUAGUUCGAGAUGGCUACUCAUUUAAAUCCGAGAAUAAUGGUUGUUCUAUUUAUUUGAGAGAUAUGUUUUAUGGUCAUGCCCCGCUGGUCAAUGGUUUAUUCUUGAUGAAUCUCGAACGUGAUGUUACACAUAUUCAUAGUGUGAAUACCAAAAGAUGUAAAGUUGAUAACGAUAGUCCCACAUACUUGUGGCACUGCCGCCUUGGUCACACUGGUGUCAAGCGCAUGAAGAAGCUCCAUGCGGAUGGACUUUUGGAGUCUCUUGAUUACGAAUCAUUUGACACGUGCGAACCAUGCCUCAUGGGUAAGAUGACCAAGACUCCGUUCUCCGGAACAAUGGAGCGAGCAACCAACUUAUUGGAAAUCAUACAUACCGAUGUGUGCGGUCCAAUGAGUGUUGAGGCUCGCGGAGGAUAUCGUUAUGUUCUCACUCUCACUGAUGACUUAAGUAGAUAUGGGUAUGUCUACCUAAUGAAACACAAGUCUGAAACCUUUGAAAAGUUCAAGGAAUUUCAGAGUGAGGUUGAGAAUCAACGUGACAGGAAAAUAAAAUUCUUAUCAUCAGAUCGUGGUGGAGAAUAUUUAAGUCACGAAUUUGGUACGCACUUAAGGAAAUGUGGAAUCGUUUCACAACUCACGCCGCCUGGAACACCUCAACGAAACGGUGUGUCCGAACGUCGUAAUCGCACUCUAUUGGAUAUGGUGCGAUCUAUGAUGUCUCUUACCGAUCUACCGCUCUCAUUUUGGGGCUACGCUUUAGAGACUGCCGCAUUCACUUUAAAUAGGGCUCCGUCGAAAUCCGUUGAGACGACACUGUAUGAAUUAUGGUUUGGGAAGAAACCUAAGCUGUCGUUUCUAAAAGUUUGGGGAUGCGAUGCUUAUGUCAAGAAACUUCGACCUGAAAAGCUCGAAUCCAAGUCGGAGAAAUGCGUCUUCAUAGGAUACCCUAAGGAAACCAUUGGGUAUACCUUCUACCUCAGAUCCGAAGGCAAGAUCUUCGUUGCCAAGAACGGGUCCUUUCUGGAGAAGGAAUUUCUCUCGAAAGAAUUGAGUGGGAGGAAAGUGGAACUUGAUGAGGUGAUAGUCACCCCUUCCGAACCGGAAAGUAGCGCAGCGCGGGAAGAUGUUCCUGUGGUGCCUACACCGACUGGGGAGGAAGUUAAUGAUGAUGAUCAUGAAGCUUCGGAUCAAGUUACUACUGAACUUCGUAGGUCCACAAGGACACGUUCCGCACCAGAGUGGUACGGCAACCCUGUCCUGGAAAUCAUGUUGUUAGACAACGGUGAACCUUCGAACUAUGAAGAAGCGAUGGCGGGCCCGGAUUCCGACAAAUGGCUAGAAGCCAUGAAAUCCGAGAUAGGAUCCAUGUAUGAAAACGAAGUAUGGACUUUGACUGACUUGCCCGAUGAUCGGCGAGCCAUAGAAAACAAAUGGAUCUUUAGGAAGAAGACAGACGCGGAUGGUAAUGUGACCAUCUAUAAGGCUCGACUUGUCGCUAAGGGUUAUCGACAAGUUCAAGGGGUUGACUACGAUGAGACUUUCUCACCCGUAGCGAAGCUGAAGUCCGUCCGAAUCAUGUUAGCAAUUGCCGCAUACUAUGAUUAUGAGAUAUGGCAGAUGGACGUCAAAACGGCAUUCCUUAACGGCUUCCUUAAGGAAGAGUUGUAUAUGAUGCAGCCGGAAGGUUUUGUCAAUCCUAAGAAUGCUAACAAAGUAUGCAAGCUCCAGCGCUCAAUCUAUGGGCUGGUGCAAGCAUCUCGGAGUUGGAACAUUCGCUUUGAUGAGAUGAUCAAAGCGUUUGGGUUUACACAGACUUAUGGAGAAGCCUGUGUUUACAAGAAAGUGAGUGGGAGCUCUGUAGCAUUUCUCUUAUUAUAUGUGGAUGACAUAUUAUUAAUGAGAAAUGAUAUAGAAUUCUUGGAAAGUAUAAAGGCCUAUUUGAAUAAGUGUUUUUCAGUGAAGGACCUUGGAGAAGCUGCUUAUAUAUUAGGCAUCAAGAUCUAUAGAGAUAGAUCAAGACGCCUCAUUGGUCUUUCACAGAGUACAUACCUUGACAAGAUAUUGAAGAAGUUCAAUAUGGAUCAGUCCAAGAAGGGGUUCUUGCCUGUAUUGCAAGGUGUGCAAUUGAGCACGGCUCAAUGCCCGACCACGGCAGAAGAUAGAGAGAAGAUGAGUGUCAUCCCCUAUGCCUCAGCCAUAGGGUCUAUUAUGUAUGCCAUGCUGUGUACCAGACCUGAUGUAAAACUUGUCGUAAGUUUGGUAGGAAGGUACCAAAGUAAUCCCGGCAUGGAACACUGGACAGCGGUCAAGAAUAUCCUGAAGUACCUGAAAAGGACUAAGGAUAUGUUUCUCGUAUAUGGAGGUGACGAAGAGCUCGUCGUAAAGGGUUACGUCGACGCUAGCUUCGACACAGAUCUGGAUGACUCGAAGUCACAAACCGGAUACGUGUAUAUUUUGAAUGGAGGAGCAGUAAGCUGGUGCAGUUGCAAGCAAAGCGUCGUGGCGGGAUCUACAUGUGAAGCGGAGUACAUGGCAGCCUCGGAGGCAGCACAGGAAGCAGUCUGGAUGAAGGAGUUCAUUACUGACCUAGGGGUGAUUCCCAAUGCGUCGGGCCCGAUGACUCUCUUCUGUGACAACACUGGAGCUAUUGCCCUUGCGAAGGAGCCCAGAUUUCACAGGAAGACCAGGCAUAUCAAGCGUCGCUUCACUUCCAUUCGUGAAAGUGUUCAAAAUGGAGACAUAGAUAUUUGUAAAGUACAUACGGACCUGAAUGUAGCAGAUCCGUUGACUAAACCUCUCCCUAGAGCAAAACAUGAUCAACACCAGGACGCUAUGGGUGUUCGAUUCAUCACAAUGUAACUAGAUUAUUGACUCUAGUGCAAGUGGGAGACUAUUGGAAAUAUGCCCUAGAGGCAAUAAUAAAUGGUUAUUAUUAUAUUUCUUUGUUCAUGAUAAUUGUCUAUUGUUCAUGCUAUAAUUGUGUUAUCCGGAAAUCGUAAUACAUGUGUGAAUACAUAGACCACAACGUGUCCCUAGUAAGCCUCUAGUUGACUAGCUCGUUGAUCAACAGAUAGUCAUGGUUUCCUGACUAUGGACAUUGGAUGUCAUUGAUAACGGGAUCACAUCAUUGGGAGAAUGAUGUGAUGGACAAGACCCAAACCUAAGCAUAGCUCAAAGAUCGUGUAGUUCGUUUGCUAGAACUUUUCCAAUGUCAAGUAUCUUUUCCUUAGACCAUGAGAUCGUGCAACUCCCGGAUACCAUAGGAGUGCUUUGGGUGUGCCAAACGUCACAACGUAACUGGGUGACUAUAAAGGUGCACUACGGGUAUCUCUGAAAGUGUCUUUUGGGUUGGCACGGAUCGAGACUGGGAUUUGUCACUCCGUGUGACGGAGAGGUAUCUCUGGGCCCACUCGGUAAUGCAUCAUCAUAAUGAGCUCAAUGUGACUAAGGAGUUAGUCACGGGAUCAUGCAUUGCGGUACGAGUAAAGAGACUUGCCGGUAACGAGAUUGAACAAGGUAUUGGGAUACCGAUGAUCGAAUCUCGGGCAAGUAACUUACCGAUUGACAAAGGGAAUUGCAUACGGGAUUGAUUGAAUCCUCGGCAUCGUGGUUCAUCCGAUGAGAUCAUCGUGGAACACGUGGGAGCCAACAUGGGUAUCCAGAUCCCGCUGUUGGUUAUUGACCGGAGAGGCGUCUCGGUCAUGUCUGCAUGUCUCCCGAACCCGUAGGGUCUACACACUUAAGGUUCGGUGACGCUAGGGUUGUAGAGAUAUGAGUAUGCGGAAACCCGAAAGUUGUUCGGAGUCCCGGAUGAGAUCCCGGACGUCACGAGGAGUUCCAGAAUGGUCCGGAGGUGAAGAAUUAUAUAUAGGAAGUCCAGUUUCGGCCACCGGGAAAGUUUCGGGGGUUAUCGGUAUUGUACCGGGACCACCGGAAGGGUCCCGGGGGUCCACCGGGUGGGGCCACCUGUCCCGGAGGGCCCCAUGGGCUGAAGUGGGAAGGGAACCAGCCCUUAGUGGGCUGGGGCGCCCCAUGGGCCUCCCCCCUGCGCCUAGGGUUGGAAACCCUAGGGUGGGGGGGCACCCCACUUGGCUUGGGGGGGAAGCCACCCCUCCUUUCCCCCUUGGCCGCCGCCCCCCCUUGGAGAUCCCAUCUCCCAGGGCCGGCGCCCCCCAGGGGGCCUAUAUAAAGGGGGGGAGGGAGGGCAGCAACGCAACAGCCUUGGGCGCCUCCCUCCUCCCCUGCUACACCUCUCCCUCUCAUAGAAGCUCGGCGAAGCCCUGCCGAGACCCCGCUACUUCCACCACCACGUCGUCGUGCUGCUGGAUCUCCAUCAACCUCUCCUUCCCCUUGCUGGAUCAAGAAGGAGGAGACGUCGCUGCACCGUACGUGUGUUGAACGCGGAGGUGCCGUCCGUUCGGCACUCGGUCAUCGGUGAUUUGGAUCACGACGAGUACGACUCCAUCAACCACGUUCAUUGUAACGCUUCCGCUCGUGAUCUACAAGGGUAUGUAGAUGCACUCCUUUCCCCUCGUUGCUAGUAUACUCCAUAGAUGCAUCUUGGUGAGCGUAGAAAAAUUUUAAACUUCUGCUACGAUCCCCAACACUACCUUCAUAAUGGAUAGUAACAUAUGAAUGAUAACAUGCAAGCCUUCAUUAAUUGAGAUAUAGACUCAUUUUACCUUGGGGUGUGUUAUGUUACAGUAACAUAUUAUGUUACCACAAUCAGCUCUCUCCUCAUUAACUCCAUGCCACAUAAGCAAAUUUAUCUUGGGAUGUAUUAUGUUACUAUCUAAGUUACUCCCACUAUGACUAGGGUUCGGCUCCUCUGCAGUCACGUUAUUACUGCACGGGUACUGUACCAACUCACAUUAGCCGUCCAAAUCUGACGACUCUCGCUACCCCCACUUGAUUCUGUUAAUAAAUGGAAACAAACAGCUAAUUAUGUGGUACAAAAUCUCCUACGGCUGCAGGAUUGCCGCCAAACAGAACCACGAAGAUACUCACAUUGGCGCCAAACAAAACACACCCUGAUAAUCACCUUGGCGCCAAACAGCGACCUCUUUGCAUUUGUCCCGCUCAUCUUCCUCGUUCCUCCUUUUGCCCUAUCUUUCUUCUGAUCGUCCUCCAUGUUCAGAGCGCAACCAAGGCAAGCUAAGGAGCCGAACCCUGGCGCAGAUCAACUCCCUUUUGCCCUAUCUUUCUUCUGAUCGUCCUUCGUGUUCAGAGCGCAACCAAGGCAAGAUAAGGAGCCGAACCCUAGCGCAGAUCAACUCCCUUUUGCCCUAUCUUUCUUCUGAUCAUCCUCCAUGUUCAGAGCGAAACCAAGGCAAGCUGAUCCAUAGGCGAUGAAGAUUAUCUCCCUUUUGCCUUCCUUCUUCUAGCAACAAAAAAGAAGACAAUUAAUCUCAAGGUAUGUGACAUAUGCUCUAACUGUAUUCAUAUUCUCAAGGCACACAAUUUGUAGAUUGAGUUUGCUAUGGUACUAUUUUCUUAAAUGGAGGAUGAUAAGGGCAAGAUGCAAAACUUAUUUUCUGCACCUUUUAGAUUAUGUUAGAGUGAAAAAAUAAUUUUAAUAGAAGUGAUCUCUAUUGUUUUGGACAACCUCAAGAUAAAAUGCAUGAAUAUAUUCAAAUAUUUACUUGUAAGAUAGAUGAUUUGCUCAUCAAGUACCUGGGAUUUCCAAAACAUUACAGGAGAUUAAUGCAGAUGAUCUCCCUUUUGUUGUCCUUCUCCUAGCAACAAAAAAGAAGAGAAAGUCUAAUGGAGAAUAUGACUAGCUCUAAUGAGGAUGCUAACAGGUACCGACAGUUUUGUUAAAUUCUCAGGUCAUAUCACCUUAUGAUUGUAGUGUAAACAUACAAACAAAUAAUUUAUGUGUAAUUUUUAUAGGAAAAAUGUGGUUCCUAGUUGGAUGCCUCGGAUUGGUAUGAAAUUCAAUUCCACAAAAGAGGCUUGGAACUUUUGGACAUGUUAUGGAGGUCAUAUUGGUUUUGAUGUAAGGAUAAAUUAUGAAAACAAGAGCAAACUCGAUGGAGUAAUCACUUCAGCAAGAUAUGUUUGUUCCAAUGAGGGCUACAGAAGAAAAGACAAAAGGGAUAAUAGUACAAAGCGUCCUCGUGCAGAAACAAGGACCGGCUGCAAUGUUCGAAUGGGAAUUACUAUAGACCGAGAAGCAGGAAAUUAUGAGGUGCAUGAGUUAGUUGUUGAACACAACCAUGUCUUGCAAUUACCUGGGACAAGCCACUUGAUGCCAUCACAGAGGAAGAUUUCGGCCUUGCAAGCAUUUGAAAUUGAAACAACAGAUGAUUCAGGAAUUGUACCUAGAAAAGCCCAUGAGCUAGCAAGUCGACAAGUUGGUGGUCCACUAAACCUUGGCUACACAUCUCGUGAUCGCAAGAACCACUUGCGAACCAAGCGACAAAGGGACCUGAUGUAUGGUGAAGCUGGAAGUAUGCUCAAGUAUUUUAGAGAUAAAAAGAAUGAGAAUCCUGCAUUUGAAUAUGACAUGCAACUAGAUUGCGAUGAAAAUAUAGCAACUAUCUUCUGGGCUGAUGCAAGGAUGAUAAUUGACUAUGCUCAUUUCGGUGAUGUUGUUACCUUCGAUACAACAUUUGGGACAAACAAAGAGUACAGACCCUUUGGUGUGUUUGUUGGCUUCAACCAUUUCAGAGAAAUGGUCAUUUUUGGUGCUGCACUUUUAUAUGAUGAGACAUUUGAAUCAUUCAAAUGGUUGUUCAACACGUUCCUAUCAGUGCAUAACAAAAAACAACCAAGGACAAUCUUUAUUGAUCAAGAUGUAGCAAUGGGUAAUGCAAUUCAGGCAGUAUUUUACCGAAGCAUGGCAUGGGUUGUGCACUUUUCACAUAAUGCAAAAUGCCAUCAGGCACUUACCUCAUAAGAAAAAAGACGAGGAUGGACCAAAUGUACUUGCUGAUUUCAGUGCUUGCAUGUACAAGUAUGAGGAAGAGGAAGCCUUUGAAGACGCUUUCAAGUCCAUAAGAAGCAAUGUGGAAACACAAACUUGGUUGGACAGCAUCUACAAAGUAAAAGAGAAAUGGGCAAGAUGUUACAUGAGGAAUGCUUACACUAUAGGCAUGAGAAGCACACAAUUAAGUGAGAGCUUGAACAGUGACUUGAAAGACCAUCUAAAGUCUGCUCUUGACAUCCUUCGGUUUUUCAAGCACGUAGAGAGGGUUGUGCAAGGAAAAAGAGAUAAUGAGGUAAAUGAGGAAUAUGAGUCUAGGAAAAAAUUACCUAGAGUCAGAAUGAGGACUCUUAUGGUAAUACAAGCGAGCAAAGUUUACACACCAUGCAUAUUUGAAUAUUUUCAGAAUGAAUAUGAAAGAUCCAUCUCAGCAUACAUCAAGCCAUCGGUACAACACAAUGUUUAUACUGUUGUGAUUGCAAGUCUUGACCCAGAAUUUUCAUAUGAAGAAGAAUGCAAAGUUCUAGUAGACUAUGGAGAGCAAAAGGUUCUAUGCAAUUGUGGGCAAUUUGAAAGAGUUGGUAUAUUGUGUAGUCAUGCUUUGAAAGCCCUUGAUGUCAUGAAUAUUAAAUAUCUUCCAGGCCACUAUAUUUUGAAGCGAUGGACUCGAGAAGCACGAAGUGGAACUAUUCAAAACAGCCAUGGAAACAUUGUUUUGGAAGACCCUAGAUCGGAAGAUAGGCAACAAUUGAAGUUUUUCAUGCACGAUCUCCAUGGCAUAGCUUCCCAAGCAGUUGCAUCAAAAGAGUGCAUCAAACUAGUAGAUGAUGCUUUGAGGAUUCUUAGGAAGCAAGUUGAAGAAAAAGCUCCUACUACUACAUGCACAACUGAAGAUAUAUCUAAAGAACCAGAGGAUUGUCUACAGGCCGCUUGCCUAAAGAAAAAAGAAAUUCCGAUUAAGAAUUCGAGACGAAAGAAAUCAUGGCUUGACAACCAGCACCCCAAUAAAAAGAAGGAGACAAAUAAAGUUGUACCAAAAAAUCAAACUCAUCCGGUAAAUCUCUUCCACCUAUCUAACCAGAGUACUUGCUAAAAAGACUAACAUUUGCUCGGUUUUCUUUUCAUAGAGAAGAGAGAAUGACAUUCCACUAGCACAAUACCAAUCACCUAUAGAGCAAAUGGCUGGAACAAGUGCAAAUGGGUUACUGACUAACUGAAAUUAAACUCAGUACACAUGCAUGUACCACUACUGGUUACUGACUAACCAUAUGGCCGUGAAGAAUUAACGGAUUAUCAAACAAUCACAUGCUCUCCCUUGCUCUGCUUUCACUCUUCUAACAUCAAGAAAGCUGCAGUACGUACAAGACGAACAAACAAUGAAGAAAGGAAGAAAUCGGUUCUAAGUAACAGGCUAGCAGCAAGAAAUUCACCUCCUGCGCGACGACCAUUGGGUUCUUCUGCUAUUGGGGCUUGUCGCUUGGCCGGGCAGGAGUGCUGCGAGGUCCAGCUGCCGCGCCGCUGCCACUGUUUUCCCAGUGGAUUUGACCGGAUUUGGCCGGAGACACGCCGCUGCCGUCAGACGCCUCCUGCGGUCGAAGAAUCUUGGGGCGCCCAUCGUGGAGGGCGUCGCAGCGCGGCGGGCCGGCGGCCCAGGCAUAUGAGAAUCGCCGUCCUCUGGCUGCUACCCUCCUAUGGCGUAGACCACCCCUCCUAUGGCUGCUACCCUCCUCCGCUUCCAGGUCGCUCGGGCUACUCUGGGAGUCGCCGUCCUCGUAUUCCUUAUCGAGCCCGCCGGUAUGAGCCUCCAGCUUGCCGUCGUCGUCGGGCUCGUUGAGCUCGCCGUUGUGCGGCAGCAGCGUCUCAGGUGGAUUCGCGCGGCACCUUCAUCCCCCGACCAUUCAUUGCAGCAGCCGGUAGAAGCCAUGGGGGCACGCGGAUGGAUAAGAAGCAGCGCAAAGAGGUGAGCCUACGAAGGGAGGGCAUCGCCGGAGCAGUACAAGCUGACCGGAUUUGGCCGGAGCAGCGCUUGCGGUGGGGAAAAACAGUGACCAGUCCUCUCUAGAGGAAGGAGACAAGACAGAGAGGGGAACAGUGUGGCAUGUGGGUCUUUUUUUUAUGAGUGGCCGGUGCGAGGCUUGUCACACAGCGAUUGAGCCAUUGGAUUAAAAUGAACGAUGGAUCCUAGCAGCUACAGCACGCGUGCAGUAAUAUCUUUGUUCUUCGCCCUCCCCUACCAGCCAUUGAUCAUAUUCGAAGUGAAAAAACCAUGUCUAUAUACAACAUGGACCUGCUACACUAAAUAGUAACUACACAUCGACAUUGUGUCAUCAACAUUGGAGACUUUCAUCCUGUUGUGUUGUGGUGUUAGGGAGACGUUCAAAGGUGUCAAAUGCAAGAAAGCCAAGAGUGUAUGCGUGUGAUACUACACUAAUUUAUCCUCUUUACAACCUAUAUAUGUUCACCUAAUACCUGUUUUUUUUCUUAAUAAAGGAUGGAUCAUGCAGAUUGAUAUUGUAUAUCAUUGCGAGACAUAAUAGAUAGAAAUUUGCAAUAGACCACUUCCACAAAACUCCCUUACAGAGCUGCGAUCAAGGUCUUCAAACUCCUUUGCAACAAAAUUAGUUGCAAAGCCAGACCUGAUUUCGAAAAGACUUCUGAGCCUUCUAUAGACUAUGGCGCUUUUUUCCCUCUACUAUAGAUUUAGAAGUAUCUGCACAUGCCGCAGACACAAGAUACAAAGCCCAGGGUUAUAUGUAAAAUUUAGUUAGCCUAUUUGUUUCUAAAUCAUCAAGAUCAUCAAGAAUUAACCUAUGUUAUAAUCUGAAAUGAUCAUGCUGGAAUUAACUUUAUGAUGGUCUUAGCAAACAUGGUGCUAUUUAUGGUGAGCUGAUUAGUUGUAGGGCUAUUGAACAUAUUUACUGCAGUUUGGGCGCAAAAUCCUUCAGCUUAACCAUUCCUACAUGUACAUUAUCCUGCAUAUAUAGUUCAUUAAAGGGUGUACUGUUCAUCCUAAAUGAUUACUAUUCUGUAAACAAGCAAUAUCUAUGACGUGUGUGUGUGUGUGUGUUAGAUUUCAUUAGGUUCGAAGGAAGUUUACAGGUAUGAUUGUAUUCUUUUCAAGAUUACUACUGCACACUCAGAUUCAUUCCCUUUCCUUUUUUUGACAAAACACAACAUCACUGCAUUUACAUUCAGAACAGGAAAUAAAGUUCAGAGAAACAUCUACCGAGCUAGACAUGAGAGAAAUAAAACAGCAAGAUUAAAUCAUCCGGACAUCCUUCAGAUGAACUAGGCGCACGGUUAAAUAUUUAUAUGCACAUAAUGUUCUUGCUCGAUAAUAGCAGAUAACUUUAGUUUCAUAGGCAAAAGCAAUGAAAAAAGUAGCGCCCUAUAACAAAGUACCACCGGUCUUAAAGUACGCCAUUAGAGUGCUAUAUUGCACCAUAGGAUGCUAUUAGCGAGACACUGCAUACAUUGGUUUAUUUAGCGAGACAUUUCUUACCACACUAUGGUCUUCUAUCAGCGGCGCUAUAACGCGCUAUUUUUUCAGUGGUAAAAGUAUCCAAAUUGCCGACGAUUGAUUUGAUAAAUUAUUUAUGCAUAUGAUCACAAUGUUUCACUAUUAGUUGUUUUGAAGAUACCAAGAAAGGUUGAUUUUUAAUAACUCGAUUCAUACUACCCUUUUUCUGUUAGAGCUAUUGCCACAUGUCAACAAGAUAGUAUGUAAGAAGAAAUUCCAGUUUUUUUUGCAGAAGUUCCUCUUAGAGUUAUCCUUCGAGAUAACAAAGAAUUAUUUCUAAGUAGUUAUCUUUCAUAUUCAACUAAUAAGAGCUACUUCAAAUAUUCUUAUAUUGAAAAAAAAAUCCUCAAAAUAUUUCAUGGAUACAUACAUGUUAUGCUGAUAGAUCAGGAAAAGCCAAUUGUGUCAUUGUAAACUUAAGAUUUUGCCCUUACCUUAAAUUAUCAAAAUUAGUUUCAGAUUUACAUAAUGGUCUGUUGAUGGUACUGCAUGUACUAUAUUUACAAUACAUGUAAAGCAUCAGAGUAUAUCCAGAUCCAGUAUGGAUCUAUUAAUUUUUGUGUCCACGAGAUAUCUCAAGCUUUAUGUGUAAUUAUUUAGGCAUUAUGGUCUUACUUUAUGUGUAAUUCUUUUCAAAUUUCGGUACAGCAAUUCAUCUCAAGCUUUUAUGUCAAGCAUUUAUUUACAUAAGCAAUAAAAUGCUGCGAUAAAUGCGCAUACUUCUAAAUACGUGAUCUGAUAUACAUGUUUUAUAGAGAUGAAUAAAUGCUUGCAUACAUGUUUAAUUUACAUAAAUGUGCAUAUAGCGUAUAUCUAAUUAAGCAAAGAGUACUGAAAUAUAGGUGUACCAGUUGGUGAGACAUACAUACGAAUUUACAUUUUUAGUGUUCAUUUUAUGUUCCUUAAUUGCUAGCCCGUGCAGGUGCACGGGUUGACUGGCCUAAUCCGGCCAGGAAUUAGAACGAAAAGGCCCACCACCCGCACCUAUUAACUCUUGGACUCGCCUCCGCAUGCGACCCCGCGGCGAGCCACGUCAUCAUUGCCGUUCCUGUCUCGGCCUCACCUGGGUCCCAGCAUCUCUCUGCCGCUUGCCGCGCUGCCCCUGUCUCGGCCUCGGUGCUGCGCCUUGCCUCCUCCUUCCUUUCCCGCAAAAAUCGACCGCUCCAAUGCAAAUUCAGUUAACUUACAUAGAACUAUUGCGAUAAAUAUUACAUGGCCUCAGCUUCGAUUUGCCGACGACUGAACAUGCAUGUCACCGGCCUACCUCGUCUCUGUUCUAUACUCGGCUGUCAGUCUCAGAGAUGCAAUCCAUGAGCUUAAAACAGCGACGGAGAUUUUUGCAAUCAACAAUCGGAGCAUCAUCUUGGCUUUUGGCCACAAAGUAGAGACUGAACGAGCCAAUUCCGCAUUUGCCACUGCCUUGAGAGUUAAGUAACUCCGUUUCCUUGGACUGUUCCAUCGACGCCCGCCGCUUCUUCUCGCCUCCGACAGCUCCUCCUCACCUGCUCCCACGCAGACGGCGACGACGACGAAGACGACAACGGCGACGACUACACGUUGCUUAGCUUCAACCUAAGCAGAUCACCGCACGAAUCAUUGGCAUUAUAUAUAUGCGUCCAGGUCGAGCUACAGCCUUCCAUCGGGACAAGACCGCCCUAGACACAACAUCAAGUUGACGUCCAGUUGCAGCAAGCAACGGCGGCGAUGAUGGUGGAGAGGUGGGCAGGGUUCGGGUCGGCGAUGGCGACCGUCAUCUUCCUCUGGUCCGUUGUGCAGAACUACGUCCCUCCCACCUUCCGCCUCUACCUCACCGCCUGGGCCGCCAAGGUCGCCGCCUGCUUCAACCCCUACCUGCAGAUCACCAUCUCCGAGUACGGCGCCGAGCGCUUCCAGCGCAGCGACUUCUUCCUCGCCGUCGAGGCCUACCUCAGCGACGCCUGCGCCCGCCGCGCACGCAAGCUCAAGGCCGAGCUCGUCAAGGACAGCAAGAACCUCCGGGUCACCGUCGACGACCACGAGGAGGUCACCGACGACUUCUCCGGCACAACCAUCUGGUGGUACGCCUCCAAGCGGCAGUCCAAGGCCCAAGUCAUCACCUUCUACCCCGGCGAGGACGAGCGGCGCUUCUACAAGGUUGUCUUCCAUAGGCGCCACCGCGACCUCGUCGUGGACUCCUACCUGCCCUUCGUGCUCGGCGAGGGCCGCGCCGUCACCGUCAAGAACCGCCAGCGCCGUCUCUUCACCAACAACGCCAGCCGCAACUGGAACCCCUACCGCAGCAAGAGCGUCUGGAGCCACGUCCCCUUCGAACACCCCGCCACCUUCGACACGCUUGCCAUGCACCCCGAUGAGAAGGAGGCCAUCGUUGACGACCUCAUGGCGUUCCAGGAGAGCAAGGACUACUAUGCCAAGGUCGGCAAGGCGUGGAAGCGCGGGUACCUCCUUUAUGGACCGCCCGGCACCGGCAAGUCCACCAUGAUCGCCGCCAUGGCCAACUUCCUUGACUACGACGUCUACGAUCUCGAGCUCACAGCUGUCAAGAACAACACCGAGCUGCGGAAGCUCUUCAUCGAGACCACGGGCAAGUCCAUCAUCGUCAUAGAGGACAUCGACUGCUCCAUCGACCUCACCGGAAAACGCCGCAAGGACAAGAAGGCCUCUAGUGACAAGGACUCCGACGAUGAUGACAAACCCAAGCUACCGAUGGAUCCAGAGAAGGACGACGCCACCAAGGUGACGCUCUCGGGCCUCCUCAACUUCAUUGAUGGACUUUGGUCUGCUUGCGGGGGUGAGCGGAUCAUCAUCUUCACUACCAACCACAAGGACAAGCUCGAUCCGGCGCUGAUCCGUCGAGGAAGGAUGGACAAGCACAUCGAGAUGUCAUACUGCCGCUUCGAGGGCUUCAAGGUGCUCGCCAAGAACUACUUAGAUGUCAUCGAGCAUGAGCUGUUUGGGGAAAUUCAGCGGCUGCUCGAGGAGACCGACAUGUCGCCCGCCGACGUUGCAGAGAACCUGAUGCCAAUGUCGAAGAAGAAAAAGAGGGACCCUGAUUUGUGUUUGUCGGGCCUCGUCAAGGCACUCAAGCAGGCCAAGGAAGACGCGGCAGCAGCAGCGGCGGCCAAGGCGAAGGAGGAAGAAGAGGCCAAGGAGGCUGAAGCAAAGAAAGACAAGGAGAAAGAGGAGGCGGGGUUGAAGAAAGCCAAUGAGGAAAACAAAGGGAAGGACAAAGCACCGGAGGAAGCCAAUGGAGACAUCAAGGAAGGUGACAAGUGAAGUGACAUCAAGAAAGGAAGCAAAGGAAAAAAGAAUUAGCUUGUUCACUAGUGCCCCCUUCUACAAAAGAUAAAUGCAUCUUUGAAAUGAAAACCUCUAAACUGAAAUAUUAUGUGUAGCAUCUCUCAUUUGUAAUAUAUAUGUGCCCCCUUACCUAUAUACUCCCUCCUUGUAGAUAUUUGUUUUAUCUCUAAUUUGUAGUACUAUUUCUGGUAAAACUAUAGAAAAUGCUAACAAGACCCAUUCGGUUUACCUACACCAAAAUGCUAAGAAGUUUUUCUACAGGGAAUUAAACCUAAACAUGGCAUAAGAAGCUUCCCUACCAUUUCAUCAACACAAUAUCGUCACUACGCAUGACAGUGAAAGAAUAUCGUCACAAUCGGAACUUACCUAGUAAUUAAUUGAUUAAGCAACCCAAAUCUGAAUUAAUUGAUUAAGCGACCCAAAUCUGAAUUUGCCCUUCUACCUAGUAAUUAAUUGAUCAAGCAACCAAGUUCUGCAUCUUUUCCAUGCGUGCAUGAACUUUCCCAGCUACUCUUCACCUGCUCCGACGACAACAACGACCAGCGGUCGCGCUGAAGUCAACUUAAGUAAAUCACCACACAAAGCAGGCCAAGGAAGACGCGGCAGCAGCGGCAGCCAAGGCGAAGGAGGAAGAAGAGGCCAAGGAGGCUGAAGCAAAGAAAGUUAAGGAGAAAGAGGAGGCGGAGGUGAAGAAAGCCAAGGAGGAAAACAAAGGGAAGGACAAAGCACCGGAGGAAGGCAAUGGAGACAUCAAGGAAAGUGACAAAGUGAAGUGAAAUCAAGAAAGAAAGCCAAGGAAAACAGAAUGAGCUUGUUCACUAGUACAGAAAUAAAAUGCGGUGUGGAAUAUUAUGCGUCGCAUCUCCCAUUUGUAAUAUGUGCCCCCUUACGUAUAUAGAUAUUUGUUUCAUCUCUCAUUUGUAAUAUUUCCGAUAAGACUAUACAAAAUGCUAACAAGACCCAUUCGCUUUACCUACACCAAAAUGGCAACAAGUUUUUCUAUAGGGAAUUAAACCUAAACAUGGCAUAAGAAGCUUCCCUACCAUUUCACCAACACAAUAUGCAACUAGCAAUCGGAACUUACCCUGCUCCAUCCAGUAAUUGAUUGAUUAUUAAGCAACCCAAAUCUGAAUUUGCCCUUCCACCUAUUAAUUAAUUGAUUAAGCAACAAAGUUCUGCAUCUUUUCCAUGCGUGCAUCAACUUUCCAUAGCUACUCUUCACCUGGUCCGACGGCAACAACGACCACCACCGGUCGCGCUGAAGUCGACUUAAGUAAAUCACCAGACAGAACUCCAGCAUUAUAUAUAAACGCACACGAACAAAGAUCUCCAGCGUUGCAUCAAGAAGAAGAAGAGAGCUAGCAGGCCAUGGCAGCGCUGGUGGAGAGGUGGGCGGGGUUGGGGUCGGCCAUGGCGAGCAUCAUCUUCCUGUGGUCCAUGGUGCAGAACCACAUCCCGGUUACCCUCCGCCUCUACCUCACCGCCUGGGCCGCCAAGCUCGUCGCCUGCUUCAGCCCCUACCUCCAGAUCACCAUCUUGGAGAACAGCGCCGAGCGCUUUCAGCAAAGCGAGUUCUUCUACGCCGUUGAGGCCUACCUCAGCGACGCCUGCGCCCACCGCGCCAGCAGGCUCAAGGCCGAGCUCGGGAGCGACAGCAGCAACCUCCAGGUCUCUGUGGACGACCAUGAGGAGGUCACCGAUGAGUUCUCUGGUGUGACGCUCUGGUGGUACGCUUCCAAGAAGCAUUCCAAGGGGAAUGUCAUCAGCUUCUACCCUGGCGAGGAUGAGAGACGCUUCUACAAGGUCGUCUUCCACAGAAGCCACCGUGACCUCAUCGUCGACUCCUACCUGCCCUUUGUCCUCGCCGAGGGACGCGCCGUCAUCGUCAAGAACCGCCAGCGCCGCCUCUUCACCAACUGUGGCGGUAGACGGAGGCGCUACCUUCGCAAUAGCGUUUGGGACCAUGUUAAGUUUGAACACCCGGCCACGUUCGACACGCUCGCCAUGGACACCGACCAGAAGGAGGCCAUCAUGGACGACCUCAUCGCGUUCAAGGAUGGCAAGGAGUACUACACAAAGGUUGGCAAGCCAUGGAAGCGGGGGUACCUAUUGUACGGCCCGCCCGGCACCGGCAAGUCCACCAUGAUUGCCACCAUGGCCAAUUUCCUUGAUUACGACGUCUACGACCUCGAGCUUACGUCGGUCAAGAACAAUACCGAGUUGCGAAAGCUCUUCAUCGAGAUGACAAGCAAGUCCAUCAUCGUCAUCGAGGACAUCGAUUGCUCCAUCGACCUCACUGGUAAGCGCCGCAAGGACAAGAAGGCCUCUAGUAACAAGGACUCUGACAAUGAAUAUGAACCCGACCCGACGGAGCCGCGGAAGGACGAUGAAAGCAAGGUGACGCUCUCAGGCCUACUCAACUUCAUCGACGGGCUAUGGUCAGCAAGCGGCGGUGAGCGGAUCUUCAUCUUCACCACCAACCAUAAGGAGAAGCUGGACCCGGCGCUAAUUCGGCGGGGUAGGAUGGACAAACACAUCGAGAUGUCCUACUGCCGCUUUGAGGGCUUCAAGGUGCUCGCCAAGAACUACCUAGAUAUCGUCGAGCAUGUGUUGUUUGGCGAGAUCCGGCAGCUGCUCGAAGAGACCGACAUGUCACCGGCCGACGUGGCAGAGAACCUGAUGCCCAUGUCAAAGAAGAAAAAGAAGGACCCGAACAUGUGCUUGGCAGGCCUCAUCGCGGCGCUCAAACAAGCCAAGAAAGACGCGGUCACGACUGCAGCAGUGGCAAAGGCGAAGGAGGAAGAGGAGGCAGAAGCAAAGAAAGCCAAGGAGAAAGAGGAACCGAAGGAAGAUAAAUGAAAGGACAAACAUGACAGGAAGCCAGGUAGCCAACCAAGACAUCAAACAAGACAACCCAACUCUCUUAUAUUUCUUUACAGAGGGAGUAUGUAUCACUCAGCUUAUUUUCGGAUAAAUAUGUGUCACUCAACUGAAAUAAAAAAAUAUUGGUUUCUUUUUCAUUUGCUUAUUAACACAGGAAGCGACCAUUGUAUUGUUACUAUAUAAAGAGAGUGCUACAAUACCAAAUGCUAACAUGAUAUUGCUGCAAGAACACAAGGGAAACUGAGAGUCGUUUGCAUAUAUACAUUUCCUCAUUUAUCUACAAAAGAGAGCAGUCGGGCGUAUAUAACCCGCCUAUAAAACUUCCUUGUUCUGAUAAACAAUACAAAAGCAACAGCAGACCCAAAGACGCAGACACAUGCCAUGAUCAUGAAGGAGAGCGCAAAGCAGUGCUUACCAGCGCAGGCAAGCUCACCUUGCGGUGACUCCUUGUCAUAGAUAAACCCGACCACGCGCACCGAGAGGAUGUAAGAGCCAACAGGGCUUGCGACGGCCACCGUGUUGAAGAUGGUGCCGAAAUGGUUUAGCCCGAAGAUCUCUGACGUUAUGCUCGGCAUCAAAGCCCACUGAGACCCAUAGCACAGGCCGACGAGGACCGAGCCGAUGUAGAGGGACGCGUGGAAACCGGAGGAGAUGAUGGCAUGGCCUACACCCAUGACCAGAAGUGUUGCUGCUAUGAAGAAAGGCCUGCUCACUCCUCGCGACCUGAGGAAGUGAUCAGAGACGUAGCCUGCGCCGAACCUCCCUGAGAAGUUCCAAAUGCUCCAUAGCGACACCAGAGUGCUGGUCUCCCUGCUCGUGUAGCCAAGGGAGCCCCCGAUCUGACUGAUGUUGUUCACGGUGGCCAGCCCCGACCCCAUUCCGCAGGCCAUCGCGAGGAAGAGCAGCCAGAAGUCGAGUUUGCACAUGGCCUGCACCACGUUCAGGUUCUCUGCUUUUUCCGACAACAUGUCCUGACUAUUAGAUCCCGCAAGCGGUGUGCUAGAGCUGGCGUUCUCCGAAUCCUGCUGCGCAGUCUCCUCAUGAAGAAGUAAACCAGUUUGUUCUUCCGACGUUGGUUCUUCUCGCUGCUUCGAUUCCGACCUCUGAGCCCAUACAACAAUAGCUACUGGAGACAUGAUCAGCAGCAGGAGUAUCGCGAAGCAAACGCUCUGCCCGGCUGAACUUAUCACGAAUACUUGGUCGCAGAUUAUGACAACCAUCAGGAACCCAGCAACAGUAACGGCCAUGAGAGAGAAAGCAUCAAGGAACUUCUUGUUGUACCGCUGAUGAGCGCUGUGGACGUCGACAAAGUACAUGAGCAGCAAUGCGAUGGCUGUGGGUAGUAUUGCCAGCAUAAGUAUGAAACUGCCGGGAUCAAUACGGAGAGUGCGCUGUACUUGGACCAGUAUCGCGCCACUCAAGCCAAGAAAACCCUGUUUGGAAAUUAAACAGAUGAAUCGAUGUCAUUGAAAAGAGUAGGACACAUCACUGCUUGUGUAAGAAGACAAAUACUAGUUUGCUUUGUUGCUGAGAAACAGAGUGGAGGUUGGGAUUAUUGAGCAAAUUAAGUGUGUGCGAUGUUGGAUCCACACAAGUUCACAUCAUCAGAGUUACGAAUACAGUUAAGGUGAAAACUCAAGACAACAACACUGAAAGUUCGGGCAAUUACGACAAAAACGAUAGCUCCACCAGGUGUGGCAGGUGAAGGACGAGGCCAGCGAAUGAACGCUGCAUUAUUGGCUCUCUGAUGUCUCUGGACCAGAAAACAUUAUUAUGAAACAGUUCCUGUACCUACACAACUGUACUUUUCUAGAACCAGUGAUGCUGACUUCCAGGGAGCAAGAAUUCCCAGAAUGGUUGUGCUGGAUAAUGUUAACAUCAUUGUACUUUUCUAGAACGGUUUAUCUCUAAGGUUGUGUUGCAUAAAAAUUACUCUCCUUGACUACUUUCAGCAUACAUCUCUGCACUACUGUGGUAUGCCACCAAAACAGAUUUCUCCACAUAAAAAUGGAACAAAACAGAUCCUUUCACAUGCCUGUGGAUUGGAGCAGACAAAGCCUGUGGAUUUCUUGUAACUCACAGAGCAAAUUACUGAUGCAGAGCAACAGAGCAUAGACUGAAUACUACUGUACAACAAAACAGAGUAAGGGGAUCGAUCGGCAGCAGGUACCUUCAUGAUGCCGAUGACGGUGCCGCGGCGGUCGGGGAAGUUCUCGACGGCGGUGACAACGUCGGCCGUGUUCAUGAAGGUCUGCGCCUGCGCGGCGAGCAGCAUGUAGAGGCAAACGAGCGGGAGCGGGGCGGGGACGACACCCGCGACGGCGAGCCACAUGGGGAGGUACCCUGCGGCGCAGAGCGCGGCGCCGGUGAGGAGGACGAUCCAGGGGUGUCGGCGCCCUCCCGCGGGCGCCCACGCGGCGAGGAGGCCCGAGAGGACCCCGACGUUGGCGCCGACGUCCUUGAAGAAGGCGACGGCGUCGAGCGCGGACUGGUCGUAGCCCUGCGACGCCUUGAGCGCCGGCGAGUAGACGCCGAAGCAGUAGCUGCCGCCCGCGAAGCACUGGAUCAGCGCGCUCGCCGCCAGCGCCGACCACCGCGUCCUGGCCGCCAUCGCCGCCGCAACACAAGAGGAAGAAAAGAAUGUCUUUUUUAGCUCGGUGGCUUCAAGGACCUCUCUUUGCGCUGCCACGUGAGCUACGUGACACCCACUAGCCGCCAUGUUUCACUGACAGCGUGGGCCCACUGAGAAGAAGCCAUAGCAAUUGUGAGAAGAAAAUGGAGAAUGUUUUUCUUUUUCUAGGAGAAGGUGACUUUUUUUAAUUUGAGCAUGAUUAUCGAACAAUCAAUUUCUUAGCAUGGAUCCAAGCCAAGUUGUUGAGGCAUUUUUUCUUUUGCAUGAUUAGUAAUGCAUCUGAACGUUGUUAUUUGUUAUAAUCCAAAUGAAUUUUGAAAUAAAAUAGUUCCAACAUAAAUUCAACCUGCAAGAUGGAACACCCAUGUCACAAAUUUGAAGUCUAAUUUAUAAUAUAGUUCGGGAGAAAAAGACAAAUUCGACUCUGAUAGUACACAACAAAACAUUAGUUGGGCUUUAAAUUUUGCCCAUUGCCACUGUCAAUACUACUUUUGUUUUUGGACCUUGACAUUAGUUGAGACUCAAAAGGUACUUGAUUUUUGUGAUAUUAUCGGUUCAUGUUGUGCCCAUUUGUAGACUUUUUCUCAGAUUUGUUUUGAAAACAUCUGUAUGUACAAGCCGAAUCCCGGUGCAGUACAAGCCCUGGUGCACUAUAUACUUACCAACAAGGGAGAUGUGUUGUUGGUUGAAAAAUGGCAGCAGUUAACAACUUGGGCCUAAUAUUUGACACGAACUUAAACCAUUUGCAGUGUUAUUUUCAGGCUGGUUAUUGCUAUGGAGAAUGAAACAUCCAUGCUAUUGAUAAAGAACAAUCUCACAAAAUUGGAUCUAUCUUCUUGUGCUAUUAUUGCUGAAAUUAAGAGGCGCACUAUAAGUCGAAGGAAUUGCCAAGCUUUGUGUACGUCCGGAAUCUUGCCCGGCGUCUGCAUAAGAGAAAAUCUCCCGCCCUCCUCUUCAAGCUGGAUAUAAAAAAGGCCUUCGACUCGGUCAAGUGGGGAUACAUUCUCGAGCUUAUGCAACAUUUGGGGUUCCCCCCUAAAUUUAGGGCUUGGAUUGCGGCGCUUCUAUCCUCAUCUUCGUCAAGAAUCCUAUUAAACGGCGUGCCUGGCCCUCCGAUCUUGCAUGGGAGUGGAUUCCGGCAGGGGGACCCCCUAUCCCCCCUCCUUUUUGUCCUGGCGAUUGAUCCCUUGCAUAAGAUUCUGGACCUAGCCACUCGGAAAGGGCUUCUUCACAAGCUUCGCGGUCGGGGUGCCAUCAUGAGAACCUCCCUAUAUGCGGACGAUGCGGCGGUCUUCGUGGCGCCAAUCAAGAGGGACAUUGACAAUCUUGCUGCUAUCUUGCGGGGCUUCGGUGAGGUGACGGGCCUAUGCACCAACUUCCAGAAAAGCUCGGUCGUACCAAUUCGUUGCAACCAUCUUGAUCUUGAGCGCAUCCUCACAAGUAUGCCGGCGACCCAAGCCUCCUUUCCGGUGAAAUACUUGGGCCUUCUGCUUUCGGUGUGGCAGUUGAAGGCAGUGGACUUCCAAUACCUUGUCGACAAGGCGGCCGGAAAACUCGUCACUUGGGAAGGCCAAAACAUCACUCCUAUUGGGCGAACGACCCUUGUCAAGUCGGUCAUUUCCUCCCAAGCAGUGUUCUUGAUCACACAUCUCAUCAUGCCCUCUAGCACGCUGGAUAACCUCAACAAGAUUGAGAGGGCUUUCCUUUGGUCGGGUGCGGAAAAGACCACGGGAGCCAAAUGUAAGGUCAACUGGAAUGCGGUUUGCAGACCAAAGGAGUACGGUGGCCUUGGAGUGCUCAAUACCGAAAAGUUCGCAAGGGCCUUGCGGUUACGAUGGCUAUGGUUUGAAUGUAAGGAGCCCAGAAAACUUUGGGUUGGCCUUGGCAACCCCUGCACCGUAGAGGACCGUGAGUUCUUCUAUGCAUCUACGAAUAUCACCGUCGGGGAUGGCACCAAAACGCUUUUUUGGGACUCCCCUUGGCUUCUUGGUCGUAUGCCCAAGGACAUUGCACCGCUAAUUUUUGAGGCCUCGACAAGAAAGAAUUGGAGGGUGCGCGUGGCUCUCAAGGAGAAUGCUUGGAUCCUCAAAAUAAAGCAAGGCACCACUAUCUCUGUCAACCACAUCUCGGAAUUCUUCAACCUUUGGAUGCUCUUGCAUGACUUCCGCCUUGAUAUGCAAGCGGAAGAUGAUUUCAUUUGGAAGCAUGCGAACGACGGGAUAUACACGGCGAGCUCCGCCUACAAGGCUCAGUUUCUUGGCUUGACCCUAUCCCCCUUGGACCGUAUGGUUUGGAAGGCUUGGGCACCUCCGAAGAUUAAAUUUUUCGCUUGGUUGGCCUUGCAAGAUAGGAUUUGGACAGCCGAUCGUCUGGAGAAGCGUGGUUGGCAAAACUGUGGCCUUUGCCUGCUUUGCAAGAGGGAACAAGAAACGGGGACACAUCUCUUCUUCAAGUGUCGCUACACGCUUAGGCUUUGGAGAUUGAUCAUAGAGCAGCUUGCACUUGCACACAUGGACACCUCCGAGUGGCACUUGGAUGAAACCGUCAACGCGUGGUGGCAAAAAAGAACCGACAAUAAUAUUCCUAACCGAGACGCAAUGGCCUCCCUUGUUGGGGAUCGUAGCAGAAUUUUAAAAUUUCCUACGCAUCACCAAGAUCCAUCUAUGGAGUAUACUAGCAACGAGGGGUAAGGAGUGCAUCUACAUACCCUUGUAGAUCGCGAGCGGAAGCAUUCUAAUGAACGGGGUUGAUGGAGUCGUACUCGCCGUGAUCCAAAUCACCGAUAACCGAGUGCCGAACGGACGGCACCUCCGCGUUCAACACACGUACGGAGCAGCGACGUCUCCUCCUUCUUGAUCCAGCAAGGGGGAAGGAGAGGUUGAUGGAGAUCCAGCAGCACGACGGCGUGGUGGUGGAUGUAGCGGGGUCUCGGCAGGGCUUCGCCAAGCUUCUGUGAGAGGGAGAGGUGUUGCAGGGGGAGAGGGAGGCGCCAGGGGCUGUGGUGCUGCUGCCCUCCCUCCCCCACUAUUUAUAGGACCCCUGGAGGGGGGGCGCCGGCUCUGGAACCCAUCUGCAUGGGGGGCGGCGGCCAAGGGGGGGAAGGGGGUGGCUUCCCCCACAAGCCAAAGGGGGGCGCCCCCCACCCCUAGGGUUUCCAACCCUAGGCGCAGGGGGAGGCCCAAGGGGGGCACCCCAGCCCACUAAGGGCUGGUUCCCUUCCCACUUCAGCCCAUGGGGCCCUCCGGGAUAGGUGGCCCCACCCGGUGGACCCCCGGGACCCUUCCGGUGGUCCUGGUACAAUACCGAUAACCCCCAAAACUUUCCCGGUGGCCGAAACUGGACUUCCUAUAUAUAAUUCUUCACCUCCGGACCAUUCCGAAACUCCUCGUGACGUCCGGGAUCUCAUCCGGGACUCCGAACAACUUUCGGGUUUCCGCAUACUCAUAUCUCUACAACCCUAGCGUCACCGAACCUUAAGGGUGUAGACCCUACGGGUUCGGGAGACAUGCAGACAUGACCGAGACGCCUCUCCGGUCAAUAACCAACAGCGGGAUCUGGAUACCCAUGUUGGCUCCCACAUGUUCCACGAUGAUCUCAUCGGAUGAACCACGAUGUCGAGGAUUCAAUCAAUCCCGUAUGGAAUUCCCUUUGUCAAUCGAUAUGUUACUUGCCCGAGAUUCGAUCGUCGGUAUCCCAAUACCUUGUUCAAUCUCGUUACCGGCAAGUCUCUUUACUCGUACCGCAAUGCAUGAUCCCGUGGCUAACUCCUUAGUCACAUUGAGCUCAUUAUGAUGAUGCACUACCGAGUGGGCCCAGAGAUACCUCUCCGUCACACGGAGUGACAAAUCCCAGUCUCGAUCCGUGCCAACCGAACAGACACUUUCAGAGAUAUCCGUAGUGUACCUUUAUAGUCACCCAGUUACGUUGUGACGUUUGGCACACCCAAAGCACUCCUACGGUAUCCGGGAGUUGCACGAUCUCAUGGUCUAAGGAAAAGAUACUUGACAUUGGAAAAGCUCUAGCAAACGAACUACACGAUCUUUGAGCUAUGCUUAGGAUUGGGUCUUGUCCAUCACAUCAUUCUCCUACUGAUGUGAUCCCGUUAUCAAUGACAUCCAAUGUCCAUAGUCAGGAAACCUUGACUAUCUGUUGAUCAACGAGCUAGUCAACUAGAGGCUUACUAGGGACAUAUUGUGGUCUAUGUAUUCACACAUGUAUUACGAUUUCCGGAUAACACAAUUAUAGCAUGAACAAUAGACAAUUAUCAUGAACAAAGAAAUAUAAUAAUAACCAUUUAUUAUUGCCUUUAGGGCAUAUUUCCAACAGUCUCUCACUUGCACUAGAGUCAAUAAUCUAGUUACAUUGUGAUGAAUCGAACACCCAUUGCGUCCUGGUGUUGAUCAUGUUUUGCUCUAGGGAGAGGUUUAGUCAACGGAUCUGCUACAUUCAGGUCCGUAUGUACUUUACAAAUAUCUAUGUCUCCAUUUUGAACACUUUCGCGAAUGGAGUUGAAGCGACGCUUGAUAUGCCUGGUCUUCCUGUGAAACCUGGGCUCCUUGGCAAGGGCAAUAGCUCCAGUGUUGUCACAGAAGAGAGUCAUCGGGCCCGAUGCAUUGGGAAUCACCCCUAGGUCGGUAAUGAACUCCUUCAUCCAGACUGCUUCCUGUGCUGCCUCCAAGGCUGCCAUGUACUCCGCUUCACAUGUAGAUCCUGGCACGACGCUUUGCUUGCAACUGCACCAGCUUACUGCUCCUCCAUUCAAAAUAUACACGUAUCCGGUUUGUGACUUCGAGUCAUCCAGAUCUACGUCGAAGCUAGCGUCGACGUAACCCUUUACGACGAGCUCUUCGCCACCUCCAUAAACGAGAAACAUAUCCUUAGUCCUCUUCAGGUACUUCAGGAUAUUCUUGACCGCUGUCCAGUGUUCCAUGCCGGUAUUACUUUGGUACCUUCCUACCAAACUUACGGCAAGGUUUACAUCAGGUCUGGUACAUAGCAUGGCAUACAUAAUAGACCCUAUGGCCGAGGCAUAAGGGAUGACACUCAUCUUUUCUCUAUCUUCUGCCGUGGUCGGUUAUUGAGCCGUGCUCAAUUGCACACCUUGCAAUACAGGCAAGAACCCUUUCUUGGCUGACCCAUAUUGAACUUCUUCAAUAUCUUGUCAAGGUACGUACUCUGUGAAAGACCAAUGAGGCGUCUCGAUCUAUCUCUAUAGAUCUUGAUGCCUAAUAUAUAAGCAGCUUCUCCAAGGUCCUUCAUUGAAAAACACUUAUUCAAAUAGGCCUUUAUACUUUCCAAGAAUUCUAUAUCAUUUCCCAUCAAUAGUAUGUCAUCCACAUAUAAUAAGAGAAAUGCUAUAGAGCUCCCACUCACUUUCUUGUAAACACAGGCUUCUCCAUAAGUCUGUGUAAACCCAAACGCUUUGAUCAUCUCAUCAAAGCGAAUGUUCCAACUCCGAGAUGCUUGCACCAGCCCAUAGAUUGAGCGCUGGAGCUUGCAUACUUUGUUAGCAUUCUUAGGAUCGACAAAACCUUCCGGCUGUAUCAUAUACAAUUCUUCCUUAAGGAAGCCGUUAAGGAAUGCCGUUUUGACGUCCAUUUGCCAUAUCUCAUAUUCAUAGAAUGCGGAAAUUGCUAACAUGAUUCGGACUGACUUCAGCUUCGCUACAGGUGAGAAAGUCUCAUCGUAGUCAACCCCUUGAACUUGUCGAUAACCCUUAGCGACAAGUCGAGCCUUAUAGAUGGUCACAUUACCAUCCGAGUCUGUCUUCUUCUUAAAGAUCCAUUUAUUUUCUAUGGCUCGCCGAUCAUCGGGCAAGUCAGUCAAAGUCCAUACUUCGUUUUCAUACAUGGAUCCUAUCUCGGAUUUCAUGGCUUCUAGCCAUUUGUCGGAAUCCGGGCCCGCCAUCGCUUCUUCAUAGUUCGAAGGUUCACCGUUGUCUAACAACAUGAUUUUCAGGACAGGGUUGCCGUACCACUCUGGUGCGGAACGUGUCCUUGUGGACCUACGAAGUUCAGCAGUAACUUGAUCCGAAGCUUCAUGAUCAUCAUCAUUAACUUCCUCCCCAGUCGGUGUAGGCACCACAGGAACAUCUUCCCGCGCUGCGCUACUUUCCGGUUCGGAAGGGGUGACUAUCACCUCAUCAAGUUCCACUUUUCUCCCACUUAAUUCUUUCGAGAGAAACUCUUUCUCCAGAAAGGAUCCGUUCUUGGCAACAAAGAUCUUGCCUUCGGAUCUUAGGUAGAAGGUAUACCCAAUGGUUUCCUUAGGGUAUCCUAUGAAGACGCAUUUUUCCGACUUGGGUUCGAGCUUUUCAGGUUGAAGUUUCUUGACAUAAGCAUCGCAUCCCCAAACUUUUAGAAACGACAGCUUAGGUUUCAUCCCAAACCAUAAUUCAUACAGUGUCGGCUCAACGGAUUUCGACGGAGCCCUAUUUAAAGUGAAUGCGGCUGUCUCUAGAGCGUAUCCCCAAAAUGAUAGCGGUAAAUCGGUAAGAGACAUCAUAGAUCGCACCAUAUCUAAUAGAGUGCGAUUACGACGUUCGGACACACCAUUUCGCUGAGGUGUUCCAGGCGGCGUGAGUUGUGAAACGAUUCCACAUUUCCUUAAGUGUGUGCCAAAUUCGUGACUUAAAUAUUCUCCUCCACGAUCUGAUCGUAAGAACUUUAUUUUUCUGUCACGUUGAUUCUCAACCUCACUCUGAAAUUCCUUGAACUUUUCAAAGGUUUCAGACUUGUGUUUCAUUAGGUAGACAUACCCAUAUCUACUUAAGUCAUCAGUGAGAGUGAGAACAUAACGAUAUCCUCCGCGAGCCUCAACACUCAUUGGACCGCACACAUCGGUAUGUAUGAUUUCCAAUAAAUUGGUUGCUCGCUCCAUUGUUCCGGAGAACGGAGUCUUGGUCAUCUUACCCAUGAGGCAUGGUUCGCACGUGUCAAAUGAUUCGUAAUCAAGAGACUCCAAAAGUCCAUCUGCAUGGAGCUUCUUCAUGCGCGACACCAAUGUGACCAAGGCGGCAGUGCCACAAGUAUGUGGGACUAUCGUUAUCAACUUUACAUCUUUUGGUAUUCACACUAUGAAUAUGUGUAACAUCACGUUCGAGAUUCAUCAAGAAUAAACCAUUGACCAGCGGGGCAUGACCAUAAAACAUAUCUCUCAUAUAAAUAGAACAACCAUUAUUCUCGGAUUUAAAUGAGUAGCCAUCUCGAAUUAAACGAGAUCCAGAUACAAUGUUCAUGCUCAAAGCUGGCACUAAAUAACAAUUAUUGAGGUUUAAAACUAAUCCCGUAGGUAAAUGCAGAGGUAGCGUGCCGACGGCGAUCACAUCGACCUUGGAACCAUUCCCGACGCGCAUCGUCACCUCGUCCUUCGCCAGUCUCCGCUUAUUCCGCAGUUCCUGUUUUGAGUUACAAAUAUGAGCAACCGCACCGGUAUCAAAUACCCAGGAGCUACUACGAGUACUGGUAAGGUACACAUCAAUUACAUGUAUAUCACAUAUACCUUUGGUGUUGCCGGCCUUCUUGUCCGCUAAGUAUUUGGGGCAGUUCCGCUUCCAGUGACCACUUCCCUUGCAAUAAAAGCACUCAGUCUCAGGCUUGGGUCCAUUCUUUGGCUUCUUCCCGGUAACUGGCUUACCGGGCGCGGCAACUCCCUUGCCGUCCUUCUUGAAGUUCUUCUUACCCUUGCCUUUCUUGAACUUAGUGGUUUUAUUUACCAUCAACACUUGAUGUUCCUUUCUGAUUUCCACCUCUGCCGAUUUCAGCAUUGAAUAUACCUCAGGAAUGGUCUUUUCCAUCCCCUGCAUAUUGAAGUUCAUCACAAAGCUCUUGUAGCUUGGUGGAAGAGACUGGAGGAUUCUGUCAAUGACCGCGUCAUCCGGGAGAUUAACUCCCAGCUGAGACAAGCGGUUGUGUAACCCAGACAUUCUGAGUAUGUGCUCACUAACAGAACUAUUUUCCUUCAUUUUACAGCUGAAGAACUUGUCGGAGACUUCAUAUCUCUCGACCCGGGCAUGAGCUUGGAAAACUAUUUUCAGCUCUUCGAACAUCUCAUAUGCUCCAUGUUUCUCAAAACGCUUUUGGAGACCCGGUUCUAAGCUAUAAAGCAUGCCGCACUGAACGAGGGAGUAAUCAUCAGCACGUGAUUGCCAAGCGUUCAUAACGUCUUGGUUCUCUGGGAUUGGUGCUUCACCUAGCGGUGCUUCUAGGACAUAAUAUUUCUUGGCAGCUAUGAGGAUGAUCCUCAGGUUCCGGACCCAGUCCGUAUAGUUACUGCCAUCAUCUUUCAGCUUGGUUUUCUCUAGGAACGCGUUGAAGUUGAGGACAACGUGGGCCAUUUGAUCUACAAGGCAUAUUGUAAAGAUUUUAGACUAAGUUCAUGAUAAUUAAGUUCAUCUAAUCAAAUUAUUCAAUGAACUCCCACUCAGAUAGACAUCCCUCUAGUCAUCUAAGUGAAACAUGAUCCGAGUUAACUAGGUCGUGUCCGAUCAUCACGUGAGACGUACUAGUCAAGAUCGGUGAACAUCUCCAUGUUGAUCGUAUCUUCUAUAUGACUCAUGUUCGACCUUUCGGUCCUCCGUGUUCCGAGGCCAUGUCUGUACAUGCUAGGCUCGUCAAGUCAACCUAAGUGUAUUGCGUGUGUUUCGAGGCCAUGUCUGUACAUGCUAGGCUCGUCAACACCCGUUGUAUGCGAACGUUAGAAUCUAUCACACCCGAUCAUCACGUGGUGCUUCGAAACAACGAACCUUCGCAAUGGUGCACAGUUAGGGGGAACACUUUCUUGAAAUUAUUAUAAGGGAUCAUCUUACUUACUACCGUCGUUCUAAGCAAAUAAGAUGCAAAACAUGAUAAACAUCACAUGCAAUCAAAUAGUGACAUGAUAUGGCCAAUAUCAUUUUGCUCCUUUGAUCUCCAUCUUCGGGGCGCCAUGAUCAUCUUCGUCACUGGCAUGACACCAUGAUCUCCAUCAUCAUGAUCUCCAUCAUUGUGUCUUCAUGAAGUUGUCACGCCAACGAUUACUUCUACUUCUAUGGCUAACGCGUUUAGCAAUAAAGUAAAGUAAUUUACAUGGCGUUAUUCAAUGACAGGCAUGUCAUACAAAAUAAUAAAGACAACUCCUACGGCUCCUGCCGGUUGUCAUACUCAUCGACAUGCAAGUCGUGAUUCCUAUUACAAGAAUAUGAUCAACCUCAUACAUCACAUAUAUCAUUCAUCACAUCUUCUGGCCAUAUCACAUCACAAGGCACAUGCUCCAAAAACAAGUUAGACGUCCUCUAAUUGUUGUUGCAAAUUUUUACGUGGCUUGUAUAGGUUUCUAGCAAGAACGUUUCUUACCUACGUAAAACCACAACGUGAUAUGCCAAUUUCUAUUUACCCUUCAUAAGGACCCUUUUCAUCGAAUCCGUUCCGACUAAAGUGGGAGAGACAGACACCCGCUAGCCACCUUAUGCAACUUGUGCAUGUCAGUCGGUGGAACCUGUCUCACGUAAGCGUACGUGUAAGGUCGGUCCGGGCCGCUUCAUCCCACAAUAUCGCCAAAACAAGAUAAGACUAGUAGCGGCAAGAAGAAUUGGCAACAUCUACGCCCACAACUGCUUUGUGUUCUACUCGUGCAUAGUAACUACGCAUAGGCCUGGCUCUGAUACCACUGUUGGGGAUCGUAGCAGAAUUUUAAAAUUUCCUACUCAUCACCAAGAUCCAUCUAUGGAGUAUACUAGCAACGAGGGGUAAGGAGUGCAUCUACAUACCCUUGUAGAUCGCGAGCGGAAGCGUUCUAAUGAACGGGGUUGAUGGAGUCGUACUCGCCGUGAUCCAAAUCACCGAUGACCGAGUGCCGAACGGACGGCACCUCCGCGUUCAACACACGCACGGAGCAGCGACGUCUCCUCCUUCUUGAUCUAGCAAGGGGGAAGGAGAGGUUGAUGGAGAUCCAGCAGCACGACGGCGUGGUGGUGGAUGUAGCGGGGUCUCGGCAGGGCUUCGCCAAGCUUCUGCGAGAGGGAGAGGUGUUGCAGGGGGAGAGGGAGGCGCCAGGGGCUGUGGUGCUGCUGCCCUCCCUCCCCCCACUAUUUAUAGGACCCCUGGAGGGGGGGGGGGCGCCGGCCCUGGAACCCAUCUGCAUGGGGGGGCGGCGGCCAAGGGGGGGAAGGGGGUGGCUUCCCCCACAAGCCAAAGGGGGGCGCCCCCACCCCUAGGGUUUCCAACCCUAGGCGCAGGGGGAGGCCCAAGGGGGGCGCCCCAGCCCACUAAAGGAUGGUUCCCUUCCCACUUCAGCCCAUGGGGCCCUCCGGGAUAGGUGGCCCCACCCGGUGGACCCCCGGGACCCUUCUGGUGGUCCCGGUACAAUACCGAUAACCCCCGAAACUUUCCCGGUGGCCGAAACUGGACUUCCUAUAUAUAAUUCUUCACCUCCGGACCAUUCCGGAACUCCUCGUGACGUCCGGGAUCUCAUCCGGGACUCCGAACAACUUUCGGGUUUCCGCAUACUCAUAUCUCUACAACCCUAGCGUCACCGAACCUUAAGUGUGUAGACCCUACGGGUUCGGGAGACAUGCAGACAUGACCGAAACGCCUCUCCGGUCAAUAACCAACAGCGGGAUCUGGAUACCCAUGUUGGCUCCCACAUGUUCCAUGAUGAUCUCAUCGGAUGAACCACGAUGUCGAGGAUUCAAUCAAUCACGUAUGCAAUUCCCUUUGUCAAUCGAUAUGUUACUUGCCCGAGAUUCGAUCGUCGGUAUCCCAAUACCUUGUUCAAUCUCGUUACCGGCAAGUCUCUUUACUCGUACCGCAAUGCAUGAUCCCGUGGCUAACUCCUUAGUCACAUUGAGCUCAUUAUGAUGAUGCACUACCGAGUGGGUCCAAGAGAUACCUCUCCGUCACACGGAGUGACAAAUCCCAGUCUCGAUCCGUGCCAACCCAACAGACACUUUCAGAGAUAUCCGUAGUGUACCUUUAUAGUCACCCAGUUACGUUGUGACGUUUGGCACACCCAAAGCACUCCUACGGUAUCCGGGAGUUGCACGAUCUCAUGGUCUAAGGAAAAGAUACUUGACAUUGGAAAAGCUCUAGCAAACGAACUACACGAUCUUUGAGCUAUGCUUAGGAUUGGGUCUUGUCCAUCACAUCAUUCUCCUAAUGAUGUGAUCCCAUUAUCAAUUACAUCCAAUGUCCAUAGUCAGGAAACCUUGACUAUCUGUUGAUCAACGAGCUAGUCAACUAGAGGCUUACUAGGGACACGUUGUGGUCUAUGUAUUCACACGUGUAUUACGAUUUCCGGAUAACACAAUUAUAGCAUGAACAAUAGACAAUUAUCAUGAACAAAGAAAUAUAAUAACAACCAUUUAUUAUUGCCUCUACGGCAUAUUUGCAACAUCCCUCACCAUGCUCGUUUCUUGGGUAAUUUGGAACAAGAGAAACGCCCGCGUUUUCCGCCACAAAAGCGAACCGCCGACGAUUCUUCUUACCAACAUUUUAGAAGAUGCAAAACUAUGGGUGACCGCCGGCGCAAAGAAACUAGGGAACAUAAUAGUGUCCGAGUAAUUGCCAUGCCGCAUUUGUGAGUGCGUUGUAAAAAACUCUAAACUAUUCUCUCCCUUAUUUAAUUGAAGAGGCAAAUCUUUUGCCUUCGUUUCAAAAUAAAUAAAUAAAUAAUAGUGACACCCAUGGAUUGGUGAAGUUGAGUGAUACUAAUACUAUUAAAUCAUGGACAACAUAUAUCCAGUUAGCGAACGAUUUGGUUGGUUAAGGAGACACAAAGACUACCAAGAAGGAAACAAGUGGAAGAGAGUCUUUAUUUGUCGCUGUAAGAUGGAAAUCAGAUGCCACCUUGCUUAACACAUAUUUCUGAAUUAAAAGAAUAAUUUGAUCAAUGUUUCUGUAUUUUUAUAAAUAUGUGGCUGAUCCUUGCAAUCUCACCUCCUUCCUCCAUCUCACUUCCUCCAUCAUCUCACCAAUCACUUCGCAAGGAGACCGAUGAAUUGUGGGUUUAUGAUCAAGUUUAUCUAUGAACAAUAUUUGAAUCUUCUCUGAAUUCUUUUAUGUAUGAUUGGUUAUCUUUGCAAGUGUCUUCGAAUUAUCAUUUUGGUUUGGCCUACUAGAUUGGUCUUUCUUGCAAUGGGAGAAGUGCUUAGCUUUGGGUUCAAUCUUGCGGUGUCCUUUCCCAGUGACAGUAGGGGCAGCAAGGCACGUAUUGUAUUGUUGCCAUCGAGGAUAACAAGAUGGGGUUUUUUUUACAUAUUGCAUGAAUUUAUCCCUCUACAUCAUGUCAUCUUGCUUAAGGCGUUACUCUAUUUUUAUGAACUUAAUACUCUAGAUGCAUGCUGGAUAGCGGUCGAUGAGUGGAGUAAUAGUAGUAGAUGCAGGCAGGAGUCGGUCUACUUGUCUCGGAUGUGAUGCCUAUAUACAAGAUCAUACCUAGAUACUCUCAUAACUAUGCUCAAUUCUGUCAAUCGCUCAACAGUAAUUCGUUCACCCACCGUAAAAUACUUAUGCUCUCGAGAGAAGGCACUAGUGAAACCUAUGGCCCCCGGGUCUAUCUUCAUCAUAUCAAUCUUCCAACACUUAGUUAUUUCCUUUGCUUUUUUACUUUGCUUUUAUUUUACUUUACAUCUUUAUCGCAAAAAUACCAAAAAUAUUAUCCUAUCAUAUCUAUCAGAUCUCACUCUCGUAAGUGACCGUGAAGGGAUUGACAACCCCUUAUCGCGUUGGUUGCGAGGAUUUAUUUGUUUUGUGUAUGUGCGAGGGACUCGCGCGUAGCCUCCUACUGGAUUGAUACCUUGGUUCUAAAAAACUGAGGGAAAUACUUACGCUACUUUGCUGCAUCACCCUUUCCUCUUCAAGGGAAAACCAACGCAGUGCUCAAGAGGUAGCAAAAGCCUUAGCAAAUGCUACUGCAGAAGUUAUCUGGGUUUAAAAUAUGUUAACUGAGCUGGGUGUUCGUCAUCCUCAGGCAGCAUCACUUUGGUGUGAUAAUCUUGGUGCUACGUACUUGUCAACUAAUCCUAUUUUUCAUGCUAGGACCAAGCAUAUUGAGAUUGACUAUCACUUUGUUCGAGAAAGGGUAGCCAACAAACUGCUGAAUAUCAGGUUUAUACCCACUGGUGAUCAAGUUGCAGAUGGGUUUACCAAACCCCUUUCUUUGAGACAACUUGAAGGUUUUAGACACAAUCUCAACAUAGAGAAUUGUGAUUGAGGGGGAGUGUUAAACAUGUAAACCUAUCUUCGGUGAUGUAUAAACCGUAGGAUAGGUAUAGAUAGAUCAGGUUGUUAGGUUGUUGUGAUUGAGUUCUUGGAGAUCAAUCCACGCCAUGUAUAUCUCGUCGUAAUUACUUGGCUUCGGCCCAUAUGUUAACACGCAAUGCGUCCCUGCUAGGCAUAUGCUUAACCUAUUUUCACACUUACAUCCUCUCGGUGCGCAUGGUCGGGUUCAUCUAUGACAAGGAGUCACCGUAAGGUGAGGUUGCCUGCGCCGGUAAGCAUUGCUUCGCACUCUCCUUCAUGAUCAUGGCAUGUGUCUGCGCCUUCGGGUCUGCUGUUGUUUUUGUAUUGUUUCUCAGAACAAGGAAGUUUUAUAUGCGGGUUAUAUAUGCCAGACUGCUCUCUUUUCUAGAUAAAUGAGGAAAUGUGUAUAUGCAAAUGACUCUCAGUUUUCCUUGUGUUCUCGCAACAAUAUCAGUUACCAUUUGGUAUCGUGGCACUCUAUAUAGUAACAAUACAAUGGUCACUUCCUGUGUGAUUAAGCAAAUGAGAAAAGAAACCAAUAUUAUUAUAUUUGAGUUCAGUGACACAUCUUUAUCCAAAAAAAGCCGAGUGAUACAUACUUUACAGGAGUUGUGUUCUUACAUCAAUACCAUGUUAUAGCACAAUGACUAGAGAAGAGAAAGCAGUAUUAUUUAUUUAUUUUAUUUCAGUUGAGUGAUACAUAUUUUAUUUGAACAAACACUGCAUCUGUUUGUGUCUGUAAGGGAGCACUAGUGCACAAGCUCACUCUGCUCCUGUAACUCUACUUAUCACCUUGCUUGAUGUCUCCAUUGGCUUCCCCCGAUGUUUUGUCCUUUCCUUCGUCUUUCUUCGCCUCUCUCUCCUUUAUCUCCUUGGCUUCCUCUUCCUCUUUCGCCUUUGCCGCUACUGCGUCCUCCUUGGCCUUCUUGAGCGCCUUGAUGAGUCCUGCCAAGCACACGUCAGGGUCCCUCUUUUUCUUCUUCGACAUGGGCAUCAGAUUCUCCGCCACGUCUGCUGGCGACAUGUCGGUCUCCUCAAGCAGCUGCCAGAUCUCGCCAAACAGCUCAUGCUCGACGACGUCCAGGUAGUUCUUGGCGAGCACCUUGAAGCCCUCGAAGCGACAGUAGGACAUCUCGAUGUGUUUGUCCAUCCUGCCCCGCCGGAUCAGUGCAGGGUCCAGCUUCUCCUUGUGAUUGGUUGUGAAGAUAAUAAUCCGCUCGCCGCCACAUGCUGACCAUAGGCCGUCGAUGAAGUUGAGCAGGCCAGAGAGCGUCACCUUGGUGUCAUCAUCCUUCUCUGGCUCCAUUGGUAGCUUGGGUCUGUCGUUGUCAUCGGAGUCUUUGUCGCCGGAGCCCUUCUUGCCCUUGCGGCGUUUUCCAGUGAGGUCAAUGGAGCAGUCGAUGUCCUCUAUGACGAUGAUGGACUUGCCCGUCGUCUCGAUAAAGAGCUUCCGCAGCUCGGUGUUGUUCUUGAUGGCCGUGAGCUCAAGGUCGUAGACAUCGUAGUCGAGGAAGUUGGCCAUGGCGGCUAUCAUGGUGGACUUGCCGGUGCCAGGCGGGCCAUAAAGGAGGUACCCACGCUUCCACGGCUUGCCGACCUUAAUAUAGUACUCCUUGUUCUCCUGGAAUGCCAUGAGGUCGUCGAUGAUAGUCUCCUUCUGUUUGGGGUCCAUGGCAAGGGUGUCGAAGGUCGCUGGGUGCUUGAAUGGGGCGUGGCUCCAGACGCUCUUCUUGGCCCAGUAAGGGCUCUGGCUGCCGCUGACCUUGUUGGUGAAGAGGCAGUGUUGGUGAAGAGGCAGCGCUGGCGGUUCUUGAUGAUGACGUUGCGGCCUUCACCGAGGAUGAAAGGCAGAUAAGAAUUGACGACGAGGUCGCGGUGUUGCUUAUGGCAGACGAUGCGGUAGAAGCGCCUUUCGUCCUCGCCAGGGUAGAAAUUGACUACACUGGCCUUGGGUUGCUGCUUGGAGGCGUACCACCAGAUCUUGGCGCCGGAGAAGUCGUCGGUGACCCCCUCGUUGUUGUCGACAGAGACCUGGAUGUUCUUGCUAUUAUUGCCUAGCUCAGCUUUGAGCCUGCGUGCGUGAUGGGAACAUGCCUCACUCAGGUAGGCCUCGACAGCAAGGAAGAAGUCGCUUCUCUGGAAGCUCUCAGCAUGGUUCUCGGAGAUGGUGAUCUCAAAGUACGGGUUGAAGCAGGUGGUCAGCUUGGUGGCCCAAGUGAUGAGGUAGAGGCGGAGGGUAACCGGGAUGUGGUUCUGCACCAUGGACCAUAAGACGAUGAUGCCCGCCACUGCCGAACCCAAGCCCGCCCACCGCUCCACCAUCGCCAUGGCUGGACCUCUUAAUUGUUGUUUGUGUCUUGAAUAUUUCUUGUUAGAUCUGCACUGGAUGCUCCUACGUAUGUGUAUUUCUGUAUAUAUAUAACGCUGGAGAUUUGUGUGGUGAUUAACUUAGGUUGACCUAGGUCUUCGUCUACGUCUUCGUUUUUGUCGUCAUCGGGUCUUUGUUUUUGUCGUCGUCGUAGUAGAUUCCUCUUUGUCUUCGCUGUCGUCGGAGCAGGCGAGGAGGAGCUGUCGGAGACGAGAAGAAUCUACAGUCCAUGCACGCAUGGAAAAAACCUGUGGAUUCCCUUUGCCCAGUACGUUUGAGACAGGGAGUGAGAGGUGGGUGUAGCCAAAGGGUCAUGCUAGCAUUUCGUAUUGUAGUGCUAUUCCGUAGUCCAUAUAUACAUAGGAAUAUUAUUGUUCCUGUUGAGAGAUACUUAUUUUGUUUUGUGCCACCCUUCACCUUUCUCCUGGGAUUCGCUCUCUCCUUCAUGAUCAUGGAUGGCAUUCGUCGUACCGCUCAGUGUUGUUCAUCGGAACAAGCAAGUUUUAUAGGUGGGCUAUAUAUACGCCAGAAUGCUGUUUCUCGUAGAGAAAUGAGGAAGUGUAUAUAUGCAAACGGCGCUCAGUUUUCAUUCUGUUCUUACAAAUCAUGUUAGCAUUUGGUAUUGUAGUACCAUCUCUAUAUGGUAACAUUACAAUGAUCACUUCCUAUGUGAAUAAGCAAAUGAGAAAAGAAACCAAUUUUAUUUAAUUUGAGUUGAGUGACACAUCUUUAUCGGGAAAAAAAAUUAAGUGAUACAUAUUUUCUUUGAACAAACACUACAUCUUGUUUUUGGAAGGGUGCACUAGUGAACAAAGCUCACUCUACUCAUGGGUGGCUUCCUCCCAUGCUUCAUCCUUUCAUUUGUCUUUCUUCGAGUCUGCUUCCUCUUUCUCCUUGGCUGUCUUUGCUUCUGCCUCCUCUUCCUCGUUCGCCUUUGCUGCUGCUGCUGCUGCAACCACAUCUUUGAGCGCCUCGAUGAGGCCUGCCAAGCACAUGUUGGGGUCCUUCUUUUUCUUCUUCGUCAUGCGGAUCAGGUUCUCUGCCACGUCGGCCGAUGACAUGUCGGUCCCUUCGAGCAGCUGCUCGACCUCGCCGAACUACACAUGCUCGACGAUGUCUAGGUAGUUCUUGGCGAGUACCUUGAAGCCCUUGAAGCGGUAGUACAACAUAUCAAUGUGCUUGUCCAUCCUACCCCGCCGGAUUAGAGUUGUGUGGUGCUUUACUUAGGUUGACCUAGGUCAUCGUCUUCGUUUUUGUCGUCGUCGGAGGCUCGGAGCAAGUUCGACUUUGUCUUUCUCGUCAUCGGAGCAGGCUCGUGUUCUUCGUUUGUCGUCGUCGGAGGAUGGUGGAGAUUCGUCUUCGUUGUCAUCCGAGCAGGUGAGGAGGAUCUGUCAGAGCUGAGAAGAAUCUACAGUCCAUGCACGCAUGGAAAAAAACCUCUGGAUUACCUUUGCCCAGUACGUUUGAGACAGGGGAGUGAGAGGUUGGCAUUUCGUAUUGUAGCUAUUCCAUACAUACACAGGAAUUAUCAUCAUUAUUAUUCUUGUUGAGGGAUACAUAUUUUGUUUUGUGCCUCCAUUUGCCUUUCUCCUUGGCUUCACACUCUCCUUCAUGAUCAUGGAGUGCAUCGUACCGCUCGUAUUGUUCGUCGGGCGAGCAAGUUCUAUAGGCAGGUUAUAUACGCCAGAAUGCUGUUUUUUGUAGACAAAUGAGGAAAAUGUUUGCUGUGUACUUGCAACGGAGUAAAUUGCAUAAAACCACCAGUUUGAGGGUUAGGUUUGCGAAAAACACUAGGAUACAGUUUCUCUGCGGAAAACACCACAUCUUGCGUAAUUGUUUUGCAAAAACCACUGAUCGGCGGAUAAGCCUCGUUUGAGCACGUUUAUGACAGGUGGGUCCCGCUUGUCAGGCUGACUUGGCAAGAAAAACGCCCCCUGGACACUUUGACUAGUCAGAAACGCCAUAUGGACACGAGCAGGCUGCUGCCCAGCUGCGUUGACCCAGCAAUGCAGCUCGCUGGCAACUUCGCGCCGGUGCCGAAGAUGCUUUCACCGCUGCAGAACUUCGCGCUGGUGGCCGAAGACGCCGUCCUCGCCGUGGAACUUCGCACCGGUGGCCGGAGACGCCGCCCCGCUGCAGAACUUGGCGAACCAACGGCUCCCGCCCACGGCAGGGCACCACCUGCUCGGCGGCGUGGGGCUCGCCCCAGCUGGCUCUCUUUGGCCUGCCGCUGGUGGUGUGGAAGCGAGCCAUGGCGCACGCGCCGUUAACGACGGGCUGGUCUACUGGUCUACUGGAAACGCGAUGAGAUCGUCCAUGAUUGCCUCCUUUUGGUCAGUGUCCAUGGCAAGCGUGUCGAACGUGGCCGGGUGUUCAAACUUAACAUAGUCCCAGACGCUAUUGCGAAGGUAGCGCCUCCGUCUACCACCGCAGUUGGUGAAGAGGCGGUGCUGGCGGCUCUUGACGAUGACGGCGCAGCCCUCGGCAAGGACAAAGGGCAGAUAGGAGUCGACGACGAGGUCACGGUGGCUUCUGUGGAAGACGACCUGGUGGAAGCGUCUCUCGUCCUCGCCAGGGUAGAAGCUGAUGACAUUCCCCUUGGAAUGCUUCUUGGAGGCAUAGCACCAGAGCGUCACACCAGAGAACUCAUCGGUGACCUCCUCAUGGUCGUCCACGGAGACCUGCAAGUUACUGCUGUCACUCCUGAGCUCGGCCUUGAGUCUACGGGCGCGGCGGGAGCACGCGUCGCUGAGGUAGGCCUUGACGGCGUAGAAGAACUCGCUUUGCUGAAAGCGCUCGGCGCUGUUCUCCAAGAUGGUGAUCUGGAGGUAGGGGCUGAAGCAGGCGGCGAGCUUGGCGGCCCAGGUGGUGAGGAAGAGGCGGAGGGUAACCGGGACGUGGUUCUGCACCAUGGACCACAGGAAGAUGAUGCUCGCCAUGGCCGAACCCAACCCUGCCCACUUCUCCACCAUUGCUGCCAUGCCCGGCUAGCUCUCUUCUUCUUCUUGAUGCAACGCUGGAGAUCUUUGUUCGUGUGCGUUUAUAUAUAAUGCUGGAGUUCUGUCUGGUGAUUUACUUAAGUUGACUUCAGCGCGACCGCUGGUCGUUGUUGUCGUCGGAGCAGGUGAAGAGUAGCUGGGAAAGUUCAUGCACGCAUGGAAAAGAUGCAGAACUUGGUUGCUUGAUCAAUUAAUUACUAGGUAGAAGGGCAAAUUCAGAUUUGGGUCGCUUAAUCAAUUAAUUCAGAUUUGGGUUGCUUAAUCAAUUAAUUACUAGGUAAGUUCCGAUUGUGACGAUAUUCUUUCACUGUCAUGCGUAGUGACGAUAUUGUGUUGAUGAAAUGGUAGGGAAGCUUCUUAUGCCAUGUUUAGGUUUAAUUCCCUGUAGAAAAACUUGUUAGCAUUUUGGUGUAGGUAAACCGAAUGGGUCUUGUUAGCAUUUUCUAUAGUUUUACCAGAAAUAGUACUACAAAUUAGAGAUAAAACAAAUAUCUACAAGGAGGGAGUAUAUAGGUAAGGGGGCACAUAUAUAUUACAAAUGAGAGAUGCUACACAUAAUAUUUCAGUUUAGAGGUUUUCAUUUCAAAGAUGCAUUUAUCUUUUGUUAAAGGGGGCACUAGUGAACAAGCUAAUUCUUUUUUCCUUUGCUUCCUUUCUUGAUGUCACUUCACUUGUCACCUUCCUUGAUGUCUCCAUUGGCUUCCUCCGGUGCUUUGUCCUUCCCUUUGUUUUCCUCAUUGGCUUUCUUCAACCCCGCCUCCUCUUUCUCCUUGUCUUUCUUUGCUUCAGCCUCCUUGGCCUCUUCUUCCUCCUUCGCCUUGGCCGCUGCUGCUGCUGCCGCGUCUUCCUUGGCCUGCUUGAGUGCCUUGACGAGGCCCGACAAACACAAAUCAGGGUCCCUUUUUUUCUUCUUCGACAUUGGCAUCAGGUUCUCUGCAACGUCGGCGGGCGACAUGUCGGUCUCCUCGAGCAGCCGCUGAAUUUCCCCAAACAGCUCAUGCUCGAUGACAUCUAAGUAGUUCUUGGCGAGCACCUUGAAGCCCUCGAAGCGGCAGUAUGACAUCUCGAUGUGCUUGUCCAUCCUUCCUCGACGGAUCAGCGCCGGAUCGAGCUUGUCCUUGUGGUUGGUAGUGAAGAUGAUGAUCCGCUCACCCCCGCAAGCAGACCAAAGUCCAUCAAUGAAGUUGAGGAGGCCCGAGAGCGUCACCUUGGUGGCGUCGUCCUUCUCUGGAUCCAUCGGUAGCUUGGGUUUGUCAUCAUCGUCGGAGUCCUUGUCACUAGAGGCCUUCUUGUCCUUGCGGCGUUUUCCGGUGAGGUCGAUGGAGCAGUCGAUGUCCUCUAUGACGAUGAUGGACUUGCCCGUGGUCUCGAUGAAGAGCUUCCGCAGCUCGGUGUUGUUCUUGACAGCUGUGAGCUCGAGAUCGUAGACGUCGUAGUCAAGGAAGUUGGCCAUGGCGGCGAUCAUGGUGGACUUGCCGGUGCCGGGCGGUCCAUAAAGGAGGUACCCGCGCUUCCACGCCUUGCCGACCUUGGCAUAGUAGUCCUUGCUCUCCUGGAACGCCAUGAGGUCGUCAACGAUGGCCUCCUUCUCAUCGGGGUGCAUGGCAAGCGUGUCGAAGGUGGCGGGGUGUUCGAAGGGGACGUGGCUCCAGACGCUCUUGCUGCGGUAGGGGUUCCAGUUGCGGCUGGCGUUGUUGGUGAAGAGACGGCGCUGGCGGUUCUUGACGGUGACGGCGCGGCCCUCGCCGAGCACGAAGGGCAGGUAGGAGUCCACGACGAGGUCGCGGUGGCGCCUAUGGAAGACAACCUUGUAGAAGCGCCGCUCGUCCUCGCCGGGGUAGAAGGUGAUGACUUGGGCCUUGGACUGCCGCUUGGAGGCGUACCACCAGAUGGUUGUGCCGGAGAAGUCGUCGGUGACCUCCUCGUGGUCGUCGACGGUGACCCGGAGGUUCUUGCUGUCCUUGACGAGCUCGGCCUUGAGCUUGCGUGCGCGGCGGGCGCAGGCGUCGCUGAGGUAGGCCUCGACGGCGAGGAAGAAGUCGCUGCGCUGGAAGCGCUCGGCGCCGUACUCGGAGAUGGUGAUCUGCAGGUAGGGGUUGAAGCAGGCGGCGACCUUGGCGGCCCAGGCGGUGAGGUAGAGGCGGAAGGUGGGAGGGACGUAGUUCUGCACAACGGACCAGAGGAAGAUGACGGUCGCCAUCGCCGACCCGAACCCUGCCCACCUCUCCACCAUCAUCGCCGCCGUUGCUUGCUGCAACUGGACGUCAACUUGAUGUUGUGUCUAGGGCGGUCUUGUCCCGAUGGAAGGCUGUAGCUCGACCUGGACGCAUAUAUAUAAUGCCAAUGAUUCGUGCGGUGAUCUGCUUAGGUUGAAGCUAAGCAACGUGUAGUCGUCGCCGUUGUCGUCUUCGUCGUCGUCGCCGUCUGCGUGGGAGCAGGUGAGGAGGAGCUGUCGGAGGCGAGAAGAAGCGGCGGGCGUCGAUGGAACAGUCCAAGGAAACGGAGUUACUUAACUCUCAAGGCAGUGGCAAAUGCGGAAUUGGCUCGUUCAGUCUCUACUUUGUGGCCAAAAGCCAAGAUGAUGCUCCGAUUGUUGAUUGCAAAAAUCUCCGUCGCUGUUUUAAGCUCAUGGAUUGCAUCUCUGAGACUGACAGCCGAGUAUAGAACAGAGACGAGGUAGGCCAGUCGUCGGCAAAUCGAAGCAUGGGUGACGACAUGGUGUUGGUGAGUGCUGAGGAUGCAUGACGCCAAUUUUUUUCCAGGCAACUUACUAAUAGUCGAUCCCAAUACUUAUCUUCGCAUUUAUUUGCUAGACAACAUGCAACUAUCUUUUUUUUCCUCUUUAUUAAUACGCCAUCAACCUCAACCUCUGGCUACUCGAUGGUGUGCAUCAAGGCAGAGAUAGCAUUGGCAUGGAGUUGCGUGCGACGACAGCGGCGAGUAUGGACCGAGUCUAAGACGGAGGCGAGAGUGGAGGUUUUAGGUUGUGGUGAAGAGUUUAAGGUUUGGGGUGGGACACCGGGGCCGGAGAAGAAACUCAUAUCUCCGGUUAGAGGGUGGCAUGGCAGUAAUUAAGAUAGUGUGUGGUGAUUCAGUCAGGUGAGGCCACGCAGCCGGCCGUGCAGCUUGGAAGACAACCAACUGAGCAGGAUAGGAGGAAGAGGAUGAGAAAAGAGAAAAUCAAUGGUAAUUUUAGAAUAAGAAAAAAAAGAGGUGGUGUUUGUUGUUGAUACUAAGUGUCAACUUUGAGUCUGGGCCUAGAAAUUUGACUUGGUAUUUUGAUGAGAUAGAAAUCCUUACUCAUAUCUUCGCAUAUGGGCCGAAAUUGGGAGCAUAUGGACCAUAGAUUCUGUGUGUAUCAAGUGGACCAUGACCCCCAAGGAAAAGCAAAUAGGCUGCUGUGAAGAAGAAGAAAAAUAAUAGAUCAUGGGUAACAGCUCAAACUAAACCAAAACCUGCCACUCUAAAAACUCUUCAAGACUACCAAAAAAAUUAACUCUUCAAGACGACGGCGACUUAACGAAAGGGGGUCCAUUGGGCUUAGUUUUUUCCUUCGUUUUCGGGCUUCUGUUUAUUUAUGUUACUGAAACUGAAAUGUAUUAUUUUAUUCUGUUUAUUUAUGUUACUAAAACUAGAAGAGAAAGGCAUUAUUUUGUUCAUGUUACUAAAACUACAAUGAUUUUUAAGGUGUUUACAGUUUGUGCACAGAAAAGAAGGAGGGAGAAGAAUGCUCCUACAUGUGACGAACAAAUACAUAAGACAUGCAAUAUUGCAUAUUGGUAGUCUAUAGGACGUAAGAGCUGUCAAUUCUUGUAGCGAGAUGAAAAUCAGAUCAGUUAGAAGUACAUAAGCACAUAGAAAUACAUAAUAUAAAUGUCGUUCCCCUGCUCUACAUUCAGAUAUCAGAUUAAAUGAACGAUGGCAAUCAGACCAACACUCAGAUAGUUUAAAUGCAACAGUACAUCAAACAAGGAUGGCAUAAAGAAAAGGAAAACAGAGAAAAACAUGUACAAUACAUGACUCUUACUACCUCUCAUAAACCCUAACUCCCCAAUUUUUUUGGCUCUGAGCCCUGCAAUUCCACUAGUCAAAUAUACCAAAAUCGAAAAAAAGAGAUAUAACAUAGGAUUAUUUUUUGGCUAACAUCUCAGUAUGGCUACAGUGAGUACUAUGUGUUAAACUCUAAAAGUUUCGUUGUGGACCGCCGACUCUUGAGGUAGAUAAUGAUGGGGGGAAUGUGCCCUCCACCCUAAGGGCAUGGCCAACGGGCUGCCCCAUGGUGCUGCUCCGCAGGUCCGCCUCGGCUCGGAUCCUGCAAUUCAGGUUCGGGUGAUGCUUUGGAGAGGAGGCGGUCUCCUGCAGAGGAGUUAGCCGCUCCAGGAUAAAAGCAAGAUAAAAGUGGGAAAAGGGGAAGAGGGAAGGUGGGGAACGAAGGAAGAAGAGAUAGAUGGGGAGAAAAGAAUUGAGAUGGGUCCACUAGGAUGACAUCUACCUAUGCCUGCCUUCAUUGGGUGAAGAAAAGUGUGAAUGAUAGUUUUAAUACUUUAUGUAUAAACAAAGGCAUGGAGCAGCAUCAAGGUGAUGCCUCCAAUGCUCAUGCCCUAACAUGCUCCACUUGGUCACUUACUUUAUGGCAUGUGCAUUGCACGGUUCGAUCAACUUGAAUUGUUAGGUUUAUGAUAUGUGUAUGUGCACGCGUGUGUGUUGAUCAGAGCUUAGGUUGAGUCGGGUGGCCCAUCCGAUCCGAGUCAAUUUGGAAGCAGGUGGCACGAUUGCUAGUGUGGUUGGGCAACUAAACUGACCAUCUCCUUUCAUGGAUGUCGCGUGGCUGUUUAGAUGCUUAGUUUCGCCCUUGUUUUGGGUUUAUGUGUCAUUCUGUUUUAGUAACGAGGGCACCAUCGAUAGAGCUAUGUAGCUGCCAUCGUGUACAUCAGCGCAUUUUCCAUGAAAGCAAUAGCGUGUGUGUGUGUAAUCCUGGAAUUAGAAUAGCGUUGUCCAAUAUAUAUAGGACAACGCUAUUAUAAUUCCAGGAUUAGAAUAGUUAUUUGGAUCACAGCAGCCCCUAUAUAGGGCUCGAUGGACCCCUUCCGAACUUCCCUAAACUGCCCGGCCCAACCAGACAGAAUCCCACCCGAUCCCGAGCCGCCCCGACAGGAUCCACCUGAUCCCCCGAUCCCGAGCCGACCCACCCCCCUCCUCGCCGCUCCUCCCCUCGAUCCCCGACCUCCUCCCCUCCUCNNNNNNNNNNNNNNNNNNNNNNNNNNNNNNNNNNNNNNNNNNNNNNNNNNNNNNNNNNNNNNNNNNNNNNNNNNNNNNNNNNNNNNNNNNNNNNNNNNNNNNNNNNNNNNNNNNNNNNNNNNNNNNNNNNNNNNNNNNNNNNNNNNNNNNNNNNNNNNNNNNNNNNNNNNNNNNNNNNNNNNNNNNNNNNNNNNNNNNNNNNNNNNNNNNNNNNNNNNNNNNNNNNNNNNNNNNNNNNNNNNNNNNNNNNNNNNNNNNNNNNNNNNNNNNNNNNNNNNNNNNNNNNNNNNNNNNNNNNNNNNNNNNNNNNNNNNNNNNNNNNNNNNNNNNNNNNNNNNNNNNNNNNNNNNNNNNNNNNNNNNNNNNNNNNNNNNNNNNNNNNNNNNNNNNNNNNNNNNNNNNNNNNNNNNNNNNNNNNNNNNNNNCUUCACCGGAUCCGCCGCCUCCCCCCGUCUACAGCUCCUGGCCGGCCGGAUCCGCCACCUCCCCUCCUUCCCCAGCUCCUGGCCGGCCGGGUCCGCCGCCUCCCCUCCGUCUCCAGCUCCUGGCCGGCCACCAGCGCGGGCGAGCGAGCGACGGCGGACGCCGGCGCGAGGGAGCCCGCGUCGCCUGGACGCGGUGAAGCCGCCAUGGACUUAGGAAGCCGCAUCCUCGACCCAUCGCCACCGCCCGAAGCCUUGGCAGACCAGAUGACGGCCCCGACGCAAGCUACGGCGAGCGGCGCGACCAACGGAGCAACUCCUCCGCGGAGGCGGCAUCUGCUGCGCCCUCAAAUUCAGCGGCAACAGUACAUGAACUUCCUCCCAAUUUUGCCUUCUUCUUCAAUCUUGCCUUCUCUAACCUUCUUGCUUCGUGCAGAUGAACUUCGUGCCCCCUGCAAGACAUGGAUUGCCAUGGAAUUCCUCUCCUACCUCCACGACGAAUUGUUCUCAAGGUGGCCUAUCAGCUGCUGGAAAAUGGUUGGCUGAACAUCUAGCCAGGGUAUGGUUGAACUUCUUCCUUCCUUUGGUUUGUUAUUUGCUUACAGCUAUGUGAAGUUCAGGUGGUGUGUGAGCAUCAGUCCAGGCUACAAAAGCUUUUUUAAAAUUUGCCUGCAUUCACAUGUGGAAAAGCCAUGUGAAGUUCAACUAGUAAGUGUGCUAGAGUUCAGGUUGGUAUGUAUCUGGUUCUGUGCAAAAAAAAGAAAAUAGAACAUGCAUGUGAUAUCACAUGAAGGUCAGGUUGGUAUGCACUAGCAGUCCAACCAUUCAAACUCAUGAAGGUUCAGGUUUUUUAACUGUAGACAGUAUUUCCCCUUUGCAAAACAAGAAGUUCAUGUUGUGGAGAGUGCUCAGUUCAGGUACAUAUAAGUAAUCAAAUAGUGUAGAAUUAACAGGAUGUGACGUUCAUUCUGUGAAGGGUGCUCAGUUCAGGUACAAAAGUAUUGGCAGAUGCUCAGCUCAGUGCAUAGUGUGAUGCCUCUCCUAGGGGAAAAAUAUGUACAUGAACACCACUUUUAUAUGAGAAGUUCAGGCUGUGAAUAAUGCUAAGUUCAGUUACAAAGGUAUAGGCAGAUCUAACUUGUGUGCUAAUAGACAUUUUUUCUUUUAUGUCAGCAAGACGAGAGACGCAUGAAGAAGUUUAGAAGUUCCCAGCAGCAAGUACACAAUCCAAAGCCUGUACGCGUUGCACCACCCCCUCAAUGGGUCACACCUCAAACGCACCAACAGCAUUGCCAACCUGCUCCAGACCAAAAAUGGAUGACACCCGAAACACACGGAGACUCCCAAGAUGCUGGAUCACAGCCCUAUCCGCACAAGUUUGCGCCUCCACCUAAUUGGGUGACGCCGGAAAUCCCCCGCGGAUUCUUUGUAUCCACCAGCAGACUCCCAAGCACGCCGAUGGAGGAGGGGGUUAGCUCAAGUCCUGCGUGUAACUCUGGAGGUUAUCCUGGUGUGCCUCAUCAAUGCCAAAGCGAAGCAACUAAACCAGAUCGCAGGACAAAUCCAACAGCAACACACACACGGAGGAGAGUGCUCUGCACACUACCACCGUUGGAUCCUGCUGCGGCUGCUACAAGUCAGAAUUGUACGGGGCAUAAGGUAGAUGGAUUGCUUCACAAAACAAAAGAGCAAACCAAGACCAGGAUCGCAAUACCUCCACAACCACCUCAAGCAAAACAAGAGAGAGGCCAUCUUCAGCCCUCCUUCCUCCUCGUGAUCCACUGCUGCAUCCUGCUAUGAUUACUCCGCCGUGCCCCAUCCCAGAGGGACAGCAGCAGACACCGGCGGAGUUGCGAUCAUACACGCACGUAAGUGAAACAAAAAAUAUUUAUAUACGCAUCUUGUAUUAUCUGCAAAUUUUCUGCUCCCUCCAGGAUAAAAAGUUCAUAAACUGCAUUUUAACGUGCUGUUUGGAUUAUUUUUUUCUUUUUCUGCAGACGCCGGAUCUACCGGAUUAUCUAAUACCAAGACUAAAGAUGCGAUUCAAAGAUGUAGAGAAAGCAAGGGAAUUUUAUAACAGAUACGCCAGACACGCUGGUUUUGGAAUCAGGAAGACGGGGGGAAAUGACAACCACAAGUAUUUUGUUUGCGCCUUCCAAGGGAUACACACAUCUUCUGUUUCAGAGGCCAACAGGAAGCGAAACAAAACAUCGCAGAGGACGGGCUGCAAUGCAAGAAUGAGGGUGAAGGUGCAGGAGGAUGACACAUGCGUGGCAGUGGACAUUGAGUACAAUCAUAAUCACAAACUCAUGCAAAACUGAUGACAUGCUGGUAUUUUUGCACUCACACAAGAAUUAGGACCCCACUAUUUUGGAGUACGUAAAGCUCCUGCAGUACCAUGAUGUCAAGCACACAACAAUCAUGUCCAUGCUAUCUGAAAAUGAAGAUGGAAGCUACUUCCUAAGCAUGACCGGACGAGACCUACUAAACCAAUAAGUAUUCAAACGCCCACAUACUGCAAUGUAAAAUAGCAUCCUAGCUCACAACCCUUUGCUAGCAAAAAUAACAAAUGCAUGUUUGCAUGUGACUUGCAGGAAAGCCAUGAAUGCAAGGAAAGAUGAUUUGGAUGAUGUAUUGAAACUUGUUUCAUUCUUCAAAGACAUGAAGGCAAUAAAUGAUGAGUUUUUCUAUGACAUCCAAGUGGACAAGGACAAGUCAAUUAAAAACAUUUCUGGUCUAAUGCAAGCUGCCGAGGAGCCUAUCAAGACUUUGGCGAUUGCAUAACAUUCGACACAACUUACAAGACCAACAGAUUUCAUAUGCCUCUGGGAGUGUUUGUUGGAACAAACCAUCACUUGCAGUCAACGAUAUUUGCUGUUGCCCUCAUAAGAGACGAAGAUGCAAAGUCAUUCAAGUGGCUGUUCGAUACAUUUGUACGGUGCAUGAACAAUAAGCACCCAACUUGCAUUCUAACAGGUGAGUUAAAAAAACCUCUUCAAGUUUCAUCAUCUUUUCAGUCUAUGGGUCUGUGUUGGGUACAUUGGUUUUGUCUAAAAAUAAUGUAAAGAAUGCAGUUCAACCACUGUUAGCAUAGAAGUCCAACUAGCAGUACAAGAAAGCAAAAUUAUCUGUCACGUGUUUAGAAAAAAAUUAGUUAUGAAUGUGAAGUUCAAAUACAUGAAUCAUAAAAGUUCAAGGACAAAGCUGUAAGAUAAAUAUAUGUAGCAUGUUCAGAAAAAUAUAGUUAUUUAUGUGAAGGUCAAGCACUACUACCACAGAAGUUCAACAACAAUGCUUUAAGAAAAUUUUUGAGUGUGACACUACUAGUUUGUCCUACUACUAACUGUGAAGUUCAAGCACUGGUACCACAGAAGUUCAGCAACAGUGCUGUAAGAAAUUUUUUGAGUGCGACACUACUAGUUUGUCCUACUACUAACUGUGAAGUUAAAGCACUGGUACCACAGAAGUUCAGCAACACUGCUGUAAAGAAAAAAUACAUGUGACAUUCUUAGAUACCAUACUGCUAGAUGUGAAGUUCAAGUACUUGUACAACAUAAGUUCACCAUCAGUAGAAAAAAGAAUCACGUUUCAUUUUUUUAAUUCAUGCAGACCAAUGCCCAUCGAUGGCGAAAGCUAUACCACAAUCAUUUCCAAACACCGUCCACAAGCUAUGCCUUUGGCACAUCAUGAAGAAGUACAGGGAAUACAUCGCCUUGCUGUACAAAAAGUAUUAAACAUUCAAAGAGGAGUUCACAGCUAAAUUAAACUGGCCGCUGAUGCCAACGGAGUUUGAAGAUGCCUGGGCUGAACUCGUGCACAAGUACAACCUGGAGAACGACCAGAUGAUGAUGCAGCUCUGGAGUGAUAGGAAGAUGUGGAUUUCAGCAUAUUACAAGAACAUUUUCUGUGCUAGAAUGACUUCCACACAACGAAGCGAGAGCAUGAACCAUGUGCUAAAGAAAGGGUUUGUCAAGGGGACCCAGAACCUACACAGGUUUGCUAGGCGGGUCAAUGCUUGCACACAAACUCGGAUGCAGAAGGAGAACGAGCAAACAAUGACCAACAUGGUAUGAUGACAAGUACAAAACACCCCCAUCAUGUUCUAUUUACCUUCAACAUGUGCACUUUGAAUUUUAAAAAAUGAAACCCAUGACUCUGCUUCGACUAAUAUCUCACUUUUUGACAUGUGCAGACCAAUCCUGUGACAAAAAUAACUUACGGCUACGAGGAAGACAUGUCUAUCAAGUACACGAGAGCCGUGUACACCGAGAUGAGGAAUAGGAUGAGAAAAGCCACGCUAUUUCGCGCAAAGCGUACAGCAGAGCCCACUAAGUACCUUGUGUACUACCAAAACAAGCCUGGCCAUGAUGAUGAAGAAAGAUUUUCCUGGUUAAAGCAUGAAUUCCAGGUUGUAGCUGACCCAGAGAAUGAAAUAUACGAGUGUGAAUGCAAGCUCUGGACACACACAAGUGAGCGAAAAAACAAACACAUUAAAUAGCUAGACUAGUAGUAUCAUAUCAAAAUUUAUGAAACUCAUUGCUGGCUCACAAACUAUGUAUUCUGCAUUCAUCACAAAAUGCAGGCCUGUUCUGCCUUCACAUCAUGAACAUACUGGACUACCUCAAGCCUGACAAAUUUCCAAACAAGUAUAUCCUCAAACUGUACACAAAGACUGCAAAAUCACAACCAACCUUUGAUACAAGGGACUACAACACAACCGCAUCGGAUGGCAGCUCAAUGCUAUCGAAGCAAGACAUCUUGCUGCAGCUGAAUUUGAUGGUUAACAAGAAAGCGAUGAGAUGUGACCAGCAAUAUGACAGAGCCUACUAUGUUCUCAAGAGGCUCGUGGAAGAGCUUGAUGCAAUACAUUCAGCAAAUCAAGAGGAUGCUGACGAAAGGAUGGCUGAAGAGGAUGCUGAAAUUGAAGAUGACCUUCAUUAUUAUAGAGCUGAAAUGCUAAACGCCGCCGCUGAAGCUAACCAAUGCAAGCAGGGUGAUGGCCAAUCAAUGGAGCAGCGACAGCAAGAGACGAUGAAACUGUCGCUGUAUUCUGAAACAAAGGGUAGGAAGAAAAUUACUGCAGCAAAGAAAAGUGACAAGAGAGCUCAAAUAAAGGCACCACCUGCAGGAAGAGUCGUCGUGCUCGAUGAGAACGGAGUGCCACUUGGACACAGGAAAUGUAGUGUGUGCAACCAGGUUGCGGGACACAACAAGCUGACCUGUCCAACACUCUUGGAAAGAAACAAUGCUGAGGAGGUCAAGCAACCCAAAUCUCAAAAACAAUAGCCCAAAGUUAUGGAACAAAAGAAGGGACCACACCCAAAGAAAGCAAGCAGCAGACCUUGUAGCAUAUGCAAGGAGUAUGAACCACAUAAUGCAAGAACAUGCCCGAAGCGCGCAGAUGCUGAAAAGACAAGCAAAAAGACAGAGAAGAAACAUAAGGCAAAACCUAGAGCCAUUAACAAGAAAGUGGUGGAAGAUGAAGAGGAAGACGAAGAUGAAGACACCGUCGAAGAAGAGGAAGACGAAGAGGAAGAGGACGACGAAGAGGAAGAGGAAGACGACGAUGAAGAGGAAGAGGGCGAUGAAGAGGAAGAGGUACAUGUCAAGCAAAAACCUCUACCACCAAAGCCUAGGAGGAGCGCAAGGCUGAUGAACAGUUAGAAUAGGUCAAUUAACACAAUGCAAACUUAUGUCAUGUCAAUGUGCAGAAUAUUAUGUCAUCCCCUGGUAAUAUACACUGUGAAGUUCAAGUAAUAUUACUGUAGAAGUCCUGGUAUGUUAUGAGAGGAAGUGCUGUGCUGGUGAUCUAUUGCAUGAAAGAGCAAGCAGUAAUAAAUUGAAAAAUAUACACUGUGAAGUUCAAGUAAUAUUACUGCAGAAGUCCUGGUAUGUUAUGAGAGGAAGUGAUGUGCUGGUGAUGUAUUGUAUGAAAGAGCAAGCAGUAAUAAAUUGAAAAAUAUACACUGUGAAGUUCAAGUAAUAUUACUGCAGAAGUCCUGGUAUAUUAUGAGAGGAAGUGCUGUGCUGGUGAUGCAUUGCAUGAAAGUGCAAGCAAGAACAAAAAUGAAAAAUAUACAUUGUGAAGUUCAAGUAAGCUUACUGCAGAAGUCCUGGUAUAUUAUGAGAGGAAGUGUUGUGCUGGUCAUGUAUUCCAUGCAGAGUGCAAGCAAGAACAAAAAUGAAAAACAUACACUGUGAAGUUCAAGUAAGAUUACAGUGGAAGUUCUGGUAUAUUAUGGCGGGAGGUGCUCGUGUUGUAUUCCAUAAAAGAGCAACCAGCAAAUAAUCAUACAGUUUUGAAGUUCAGGUCAGCUUACAGAAGAAGUUCUGGUAUAUAAAAUCGAUAUAGGAAAAAAAUAUGCUUAAAAAAAAUAAAGUUUCACCGCAUAAACUAAGGUUAGCAAGCCUAAGACAACGCGUUCAAAUGUGAAGUUCUGCUUGGAUACGUGCAGAAGUUCAUGUACAAUGCCGACAAAAGAUAAAGAAACGUCAACAAUAUUUCUGCACAAAGUUACAGCUGAAAUACAUUCGCACUUGAAAACACAAAAAAAAAAACAAAUAUAGAUUCUAUGCAAAAGCAUACAUAUUGGUUGGGUUGAAAAUUACCAAUACAUUACACAACACAGAAUAUCCUCUCCAUCUGAAACCAGCAGCCCAGCCACAUCUCAAAGCAGAAGUUCAAGUCUAUGAUCAUAUGUUGGGGCCCAAAAAUAAACAACACAAAAAAAUCAAGCAGUUCAACCAUAACCGAGGGAGAAGUUCAGGUACAUCUGUUGGGGCAAAAACAUUCAACACAUGGAUACUGAAAACGACGCAAUACAUUGAAAUUCACAAAGCCAAAUCAUUCUUCACACCAAAUACAUUUGUCCACAAUAUCAUAAGCAAUAGUGCUGCACUUAUAGAUACACAAAUCACUAAAACAUUCUUACAACCAAAUCUUUACGGAAUUGUUCCAAUCAUUAUCGAACCUAAAAAUCUGUACGAAAUCAAAUCUACAAUGAAACUAAUGCUUCGAAUUCACGGGCCAAAGGACUGGAUCUCUUUAGGGAGCUCUGAACGCAUGACUUCAUUCUUCUCGCUAAAAAUCAGAGUGUGCAUGAACUCAGCCUUCCAGUCAUCUGCAGCAGCCUGCAAACAAAGAAAAUGAAACGAUGGUUUAGUAACGGAUAUCUAAAACCACAGCAGGAGCGUCUCAGCAAAAACACACAAGAAAAAUUAAAGGAUGAUGAGACAAGAACAAAGACAGAACAUACUUCCACAUCACCAAAAUCUUCAACAAUCUCAUCGCCAUCAUAUGAACAGCAGAACUUCACGGCAAAGAAACCACAAUCAUUAUUCUUCUGCUUUGGAACAUCGAUAAAGGUCGGCCUCUUUGCAAUAGUCACCCAGUUAGGAUGCUUGCUCGCUUUGUACGCAACCUUGCCGUACACCUCCUCGAGCAACCCAACUAAUCUCUUGAUCUGCCAGAAAUAACCAAAAUAGUUAAGUUCAGGUACAUAAAAAGCGACACUUGCAUAAGAUCCACCUAAACAAAUAGCAGAAGUUCAACUUCCAAAUGAUAGUCAGUUCAAGCAGUAUUACCAAAACAGAGACAACAACAUAUUUUGUCAACAUAAGGCAUAAUAAACUUCGUGUCAAACAAGAGAAUGUGAAAGGAGGUUCAGGCUAAGAAACACUCACGAUAUUUUGAUAGUCCCCGUGGAAACUCGUUCGCGACGUUUCCAUAUUAUCGUAAGGAAGUGAAUCAAGGAUGUCAAUGCUCCCACGAUAUCUAUUCAUCGCGUACACACUGUAGUGCGCCAUUGUGCCAAUUGGCUUGAAUAGAAUCAAGAAAACCUGCCAAGAAUGAAAGGACCGGUGAACACAAACUAUAAAAGCAUAUGUACUGAAGAACCGGCAUGAACAAAAACUUCUUGACAAACUCAGCAAAAGGAUGCACAUGAAAUUAAAAAAAUGCAAGAGUUAUGAAAACCUAACCAGCUUUGCGUUAAGAAGGUUCUUCCUUGCGAACAAACAUUGGGAGGAGACCAGCAGAUUUUUUUGCAUCAAACUUUGGAACUGUUGCAGCGUAGACAUCAUACUCCAGGAAGUACUAUGCAAUCACAAAAACACAAUUAAAACACCUCCCAAAUGCCACUACAACAAAAUUAAGGCAAAAAAAGGAGAUAGGGGUGCAAAGAACUAAAACCUGUAUGAAGUAGGGACUAAGUACAACCCUGUCAGCACUAGUGAAUAUCCCAGAGAUCUCCGGCUUAUCCUUCCACAAAUUUAUGAGAUAAUCCAUUAUGUCUCCUUCCAUCUGCUGCCCUUCACCGAAAAGCGUAUAAAGGACAUGUCCUGUGAGGUCAAUCACAUUCGCAGGGAUGGUAAACAUGCAGUAGCUUGUCCUGCAGAAUACAAAAGGAUGGUAAAAAAAUAUUAGAAGUUCAGAUACAACAACAAAACAGAAGUUCAGAUACUAUAACUCAAAAGGCAAGAGGAGACAUAAAACAGAAGUUCAGAUACUACAACAACGGCAGUUUAGACAAUACAACAACAGAAGUUCAGACACUAUAACUCCAAGGCAAGGGAGAAAUGAACAGAAGCCCACAUACUACAACAACAGAAGUUUCAGACACAGAGUAGCAUCUCUGGCAGCAACAAAGUUAAAGAAGAAGAAAACUCACUCAGAAUACUUCUCCAGACCGUGUUUACUCAGCACAUACUAUUUCAAGUUCCGGGCCUCGGAUAGAUGAGGGUAACUGUAUUUUUUCAGGGGAGCGAUAGGAGAAUGCCACUUCAAAGGCAAUCUUGAUGCUCUCUUGGAGGAAGUUAUGUUGCCAGACUCAACUGCCGGUUUCCUCCUGGUGAUGACAGCAUUCUUCCCACCUAUACCAGCAACAGUACCAGCAGCACAUUUAACAUUCUUCGGGUAAGCAAUCUUCUCAAAAUCAUCAUCGGACGAAAUCACUUCUGCUUCGGCUGCUUCGACUACAUCAGCCUUCCUGGAGCAAGGGUUUUUUGGAGUACCACGAAUACCACCAGCCUGCUUCCCCAACUUGGAAGGAAUAAGGGUCCGAGGUCUAUCAUCUUCUAUCGGAGCUGUACCCAUCGAUUCCUCCCUAGGCUGGUAUUCCUGUGACCCGAGGAAUGAGUAGUGGUAAUUGGUCAAGUCCAACGGAUCCACUGUCAAAGAAAAAAGGAAGAGAAAACAUCACCAUUAAAUACAACUGAAGUUCAGGAACAGCACAAUGUGCAGUCCAACUAAUAAAGAUGACAUGGUUACUACUCAAGCUGACCUAAAAAAAUUAGUUGCAGUAAAAAACUAAAUGAAGUUCAGGCACAACCAAAGGCACAAUUCAAGAUAAACCGAUGAACUGGAAAUCAUUCAACUACAGCUAACAAAACCAUAGAAACGCGUCAUCUCUGAAGUUCAAUUAGAAAGAAAAUGCUCAUGUCCAAGUAAGCAAUGGAAGGACGGAAAUUACUGAAACAAAACACACAAGCAAAAUUAAAAAGAUAGAAAUGAAGUUCAUGUACAAAUAAAAUGCUCCUCUCCUUCCGAAACCAGCAGCCCAGCCAGAUCUCAAGCAGAAGUCCAAGUUCAGAGAAAAAUAUGAAGUUCAGGUAGAAUAAAAGAUGCAGUGCAGGUAAGCAGUCCAAGUUCCAAAUACUUACAUGUGUAGUAGCCAAACAGAGCUUGGAAGUCUGUCUCAAACAGGUUAGAAGAAGCGAUUGAGUACAACCACGUCUUCCUGAUAUCCGCGAUAUUCUCAUGGGAAUAAUUUGCAAGAACCUCGUCAUGAUACGAAUUAAUAUUCGUAAGCAUGAAGAAUCCGCAGUCGAUACUGCCAUCAAGCGCAGUAAAAGAAUAGUGUUAGAACAGAAAAAGAAAGCCAACGAAUAAAACACGUCGCAGCUUAAGUACAACUAUAGUUAAACAGAUGUGAUAAAGAGAAAAAGUGGAACUCAUACUUGUUUUGCUGCUCGGGCACAUCAAUCCAAUCCAGAGCGAAAUGGUCGAUGGUAAGAGGACUGAAGGGUGUCUCCCUGUCGUUGCUGGCAUCCUUCCAAAGCUUCUUGAUGUUGUCGGUCAUUCGCCAAAACAGGCGUACCGCACAUUCAUCUUCUGGUCCAUAAUUGGAGUCGAGAAGCUGGAACCUUGAAUUCUUCAUGUCAAGAAAUAUUGAAACCCAAUGACCAACACCACCCAUGAAACCUAAAAUAAUGCAGACAACACCAACAUAUGAAAAAAUACAAAAAUGAGACAAAUAAGUUUUAACAAAAAUGGUAAGGAACAAAACAGAAAAGAAAUCACUAUAUGGUUGACUUACACAAACCCAAUACGGGAGGAUGAGUUUAUCCGAUCCCUGGUACUUCGCACGUAGAUAGUAGAGUGCGCACUCAGCCACAUUAGAUCGAAGCAUUCCACGAGGACCAAAAGAUAUUGCAACAUCUUCAACAGAAGCUUCACACUCCUUGUUUUGGAACAUAAUCGUUGAUCUAAAACAAGCGAAUAGAAAGUAAAACAAGUUCAGCAGUAGGAGCUCAGGAAGUUCAUAACACAUGUUAGCACAGAAGUUCAGCUAUAUCACAACAGGCAGUACAGUACAAAAGAGGCCAGAAGUUUAGCACCAGAGUAGUAAAAUAAGAAGUUCAGGUACAUAUAGUAGAGAAGUUUAGGUAUUAAACCACAGGCAAUUCACAGGGGGUUCAUGGAUGAUGUAAAUAUUGACCAGCUGCACUCACCUCUUGGAACGAUUAUUCUUAAGCCUAGUUACACUGUAAUUAAAGUCAUCAACCUUCUUUCGGACGACAGCAAGGUCGCUAUCUGCUCACCAAAAAGAAAUAGCAAUUAAGAGCAACACUCAAGCACAAAGAUUCACGACAGUUUCAAUUAAGACCAACACUCAAGCACAAACAUCAAAACAUAAGCACAUCUCAGCUGCUACAUCAGAAAAGAUAAAACCACAACAUCAUAGACAUUACAACCCAUGCAAUACAAACCUUCACCCACAUAGAAAACAGGUUCACUUAACAUUCUUUACAACGCACAUGACAAACGACAAAACCAGAAGUUCAACUUAGACCACACAGGCAGUUCACAGGGGAUAUCAUGGACUAAACAAAACAAAAAAAAGGGAAGGGGAUGGGGAAAGAAGAGAGAAGCAUGCUCCUCUCUUCAUGGAUCCUUGCCUAGACCAGUGGCAGCACUGGAAUGAUCAACCUCCUCUCCAUAGCUAUCGCUUUCGCUCUCUUCAUCAUCGUCUCCAGUAGAUGUUGCAGCAUCGUCGGGAAGGACACCAGUAGUAGCUGGAGCAACUGGAGAAUCUGAAACAAGAAAAACUUUUGGUUGUGCCUGUACAGCAUCAACAUCAACUGAUGGCUCUGCUGCGGGAGACUUCUCCGGGCUUGCAGCAGCACUACCACCAGUUUCAACAGCAGACUCAACAGGAUCUUUCUCCAAAAUGAUGUCUCCAGUUGUCUUGCCCUGCUCAGCAUCAGAAACCUCAGCGCCAAUGGACGACUGAGGUUCAGUCAGGUCCACCCCGUCGGAGCAGCCGGUGCCUGAGACGGAAUUGUCUGCAACCUUCUCUGGAGGAACACUAACAUCAUCAUUCUGCUACUGCAAAAAGAAACAGAAAGUCAUUACAAAGGGCUGACUGAACCUCAUGCACAGGGGCAGCAAGUCCGUCUGAGGGGCAACAAGACAAAUGGACAAGAAAAAUGGUACCUUAUUUUCACUGCCAUGAACCUCAUCAACUAUUACGUCACUAGCGGGAGCAGGUUCAUGCACAGGGGAAGCCUCAUGCACAGGAGCAGCUUCAUGCGCAGGUAAAACAUCCUCCUCAACCCAUCAUCAACAGCCUACAAAAAAAAUCAUGUAGAAAAACAAAUACCUAAUCAGCAGAAGUUCACAUUGCAUAAUCAGAGAAGGUCAGCUAUCACAACUGACACAUAAUGGAAGUCCAAAUAAGUAAACAUAGCAUGUCAGAUAUCAAACUACUCUAAGAUACAAAAGGGAACAAAAAGGGCCAGUCAUGGAAGUUCAGGUGCUGUAGCAGUUGAAGUUCAAGUUCUAUAAACACAGAAGGUCACCUAUGAACACUAGUGCUAAAAAGAAACAGUUUACGACACAUGAAAUCAAUAACGGUCGCCUAUGACUACAAACAGUAAUAACUGAAAGCUAACAUUGAACAUUAGUGCAAAGAAAUAUCAAAAGCCAACAUAAACAAACCUCUUUGGUAUGCUCCACGUGGCCUCCUUCACGACCCGAACGAACAUAAUCCUGCCUCUGAAUCUGUCUCACAACAACACUUGCCUCAUCUUCAAAAGGCUUGCAACGAGCAUACUGCAUUUCCUUGAACAGCCCAACGCUAGUCCGGAGGUGGGAAGUGCUCUGACGAAGCUCUUCAAGAAAUCUAGCUUCAAUAGAUAAGACCUCCUUCGAAGACUCAACAUCAAAUCCGUGUCUGGGAGGAAGAAUCCCAUCAACGCGACUAAGACGCUCAGCAGUUGAAGGAACACGAGCCAACUCCCCACAAACAGUUUCAAGAAGACUGUCAAUCCUAACCAGAGAAACAUUGGCAGCUUCAAACAAAUUCUCAGAAGAAACACCACCUGCAGCACUCACACGGGUAGAAGAACCUCCUGGAUCUACAGGGGGGCACCGGUAUUAACAUCCCGGGAGAAUUCAAAUCUUGCGGAAGUUCCACUCUCUAGGCCGGCAGAACGAGGCAUAGUUAGAACCUGACGUUCAAUAACCCUAAAGAACACAACCUCAGCCUGUGUCUUCCAGUGCAUACAAAAACAAAA